UUUUUUUGUUUUUUUGUUGUUGUUUCUUUUUCUUUCAUUAUUUAUCCUUUUCUUAUUAUUAUUAUUCUCUUACCAUCUAUUUUUUAAUACUUUCUUUUAUUCUAUUAUAUAUAUAUAGUCUUUCUGUUUUAGCUAUAUGGUUAUUAGAAAUAAAUCUUAAGAAGCCCGAUUCAGUUAUAUAAUUCAUUAGGGAAAUUUUUUAUAUAACUCCCCCGACAUUUUUAUUUCAACCCUAUAACUUUUCUCAUUUGAUUUUAAACUUAAGUCUUAAGUUCGAACUGACUCAAACAAUCGCGAGAUCAAUGAUAGGAAACACGGUGACGUGGCAUCCUUUACAUAGGUUUACUGUAGUUCAAUUACCGGGAUUACUGUAGCCUAAUCCGGGGAUGUCACACUGAGAGAACCAACUGUCGCACACAAAGAGAGGAUCUUGACAAUGUCUAAACUAAGAGGGCGACCAUGUUUGCUCUGAUAUCUUAACUAAGUGCAUUGGAGAUGUAAAAACUGCCCAAAGAUCUACAAGGGCAAUAUUGCGGUCAUGUUAAGAAGCACAUCAUCAUUCUUGAAGCAUUUGCAUCACAUUAUCUUUCAAUUUGGCACGCUCUCUUUGUCAUGCUCGUAUCUCACAAAUGGCAUCAAUGUGCCACAACGAUCACCAUCGUUUUGUUGGGGAACGUCCCAUGGGAACAAAAAAUUUACCUACGCGCACGAAGACCUAUCAUGGUGAUGUCCAUCUACGAGAGGGGAUUUCCGAUCUACAUACCCUUGUAGAUCACACAGCAAAAGCGUUAGUGAACGCGGUUGAUGUAGUGGAACGUCCUCACGUCCCUCGAUCCGCCCCGCGAACCGUCCCACGAACCGUCCCGCGAUCCAUCCCACGAUCUAGUGCCGAACGGACGGCACCUCCGCGUUCAGCACACGUACAGCUCGACGAUGAUCUCGGCCUUCUUGAUCCAGUAAGAGAGACGGAGAGGUAGAUGAGUUCUCCGGCAGCGUGACGGCGCUCCGGAGGUUGGUGGUGAUCUAAUCUCAGCAGGGCUUCGCCCAAGCUCCGCAGAAACGUGAUCUAGAGGUAAAACCGUGGAGGUAUGUGGUCGGGCUGCCUUGAAAAAGUUGUCUCAAAUCAGCCCUAAUAGCUCCAUAUAUAUAGGAGGAGGGAGGGGAGGCUUGCCUUGAGGCUCAAGGAGCCCCAAGGGCUGCGCACCAAGGGGAGGAGGAGUCCUCCUCCAAUCCUAGUCCAACUAGGAUUGGAAGAUCUUAUCGUUUGAACCUCAGUGCCAGGGAUUCAUACAAUCCCGUAUGUCAUUCCCUUUGUCCUUCGGUAUGUUACUUGCCCGAGAUUCGAUCGUCAGUAUCCGCAUACCUAUUUCAAUCUCGUUUACCGGCAAGUCUCUUUACUCGUUCCGUAAUACAAGAUCCCACAACUUACACUAAGUUACAUUACUUGCAAGGCUUGUGUGUGAUGUUGUAUUACCGAGUGGGCCCCAAGAUACCUCUCCGUCACACGGAGUGACAAAUCCCAGUCUCGGUCCAUACUAACUCAAUGAACACCUUCGGAGAUACCUGUAGAGCAUCUUUAUAGUCACCCAGUUACGUUGCGACGUUUGAUACACACAAAGCAUUCCUCCGGUGUCAGUGAGUUAUAUGAUCUCAUGAUCAUAGGAACAAAUACUUGACACGCAGAAAACAGUAGCAACAAAAUGACACGAUCAACAUGCUACGUCUAUUAGUUUGGGUCUAGUCCAUCACGUGAUUCUCCUAAUGACGUGAUCCAGUUAUCAAGCAACAGCACCUUGUACAUAGUCAGAAGACCGUGACUAUCUUUGAUCAACUGGCUAGCCAACUAGAGGCUUGCUAGGGACAGUGUUUUGUCUAUGUAUCCACACAUGUAUAUAAGUCUUCAUUCAAUACAAUUAUAGCACGGAUAAUAAACGAUUAUCUUGAUACAGGAAUNNNNNNNNNNNNNNNNNNNNNNNNNNNNNNNNNNNNNNNNNNNNNNNNNNNNNNNNNNNNNNNNNNNNNNNNNNNNNNNNNNNNNNNNNNNNNNNNNNNNGAGCUUGCAUACCUUGUUAGCAUUUUUAGGAUCGACAAAACCUUCGGGUUGCAUCAUAUACAACUCUUCCUUAAGGAAACCGUUAAGGAACGCCGUUUUGACAUCCAUCUGCCAGAUUUCAUAAUCGAAAAAUGCAGCUAUUGCUAACAUGAUUCUGACGGACUUAAGCAUCGCUACGGGUGAGAAUGUCUCAUCGUAGUCAACUCCUUGAACUUGUGAAAAACCCUUUGCCACAAGUCGAGCUUUAUAAACGGUCACAUUGUCGUCAGCGUCCGUCUUCUUCUUAAAGAUCCAUUUGUUCUGAAUAGCCUUGCGGCCCUCAGGUAGUACUUCCAAAGUCCACACUUUGUUUUCAUACAUGGAUCCUAUCUCGGACUUCAUGACCUCCAGCCAUUUGUUGGAAUCUGGGCCCACCAUUACUUCUUCAUAAUUUGCAGGUUCAUUGUUGUCUAACAACAUGAUUGACAAAACGGGAUUACCGUACCACUCUGGAGCAGCACGUGGUCUCGUCGACCUGCGUGGUUCGAUAGGAACUUGAACCGGAGUUUCAUGAUCAUCAUCAUUAACUUCCUCCUCAACCGGCAUCGCAACGACAGGGGUUUCCCCUUGCCCUGCGCCACCAUCCAGAGGGAUGAGAGGUUCGACAACCUCAUCAAGUUCUAUCUUCCUCCCACUCAAUUCUCUCGAGAGAAACUCCUUCUCAAGAAAAGCUCCGUUUUUAGCAACAAACACUUUGCCCUCGGAUUUGAGAUAGAAGGUGUACCCAACUGUCUCUUUUGGGUAACCUAUGAAGAUGCACUUUUCCGCUUUGUGUUCCAGCUUUUCAGGCUGAAGCUUUUUGACAUAAGCAUCACAUCCCCAAACUUUAAGAAACGAACAACUUUGGCCUUUUGCCAUACCACAGUUCGUAUGGUGUCGUCUCAACGGAUUUUGAUGGUGCCCUAUUUAAAGUGAAUGCAGCUAUGUCUAAUGCAUAACCCCAAAACGAUAACGGCAAAUCGGUAAGAGACAUCAUAGAUCGCACCAUCUCUAAUAAAGUACGAUUACGACGUUCGGACACACCAUUAUGCCGUGGUGUUCCAGGCGGUGUCAACUGUGAAACAAUUCCACAUUGUCUUAAGUGAGCACCAAACUCGAAACUCAGAUAUUCACCCCCACGAUCAGACCGUAGGAACUUGAUCUUCUUGUUACGAUGAUUUUCAACUUCACUCUGAAAUUGCUUGAACUUUUCAAAUGUUUCAGACUUGUGCUUCAUUAAGUAGACAUAACCAUAUCUACUUAAAUCGUCAGUGAAGGUGAGAAAAUAACGAUAUCCGCCGCGUGCCUCCACGCUCAUCGGACCGCACACAUCGGUAUGUAUGAUUUCCAACAAGUCACUGGCACACGCCAUUGUUCCGGAGAACGGAGUUUUAGUCAUCUUGCCCAUGAGGCAUGGUUCGCACGUGUCAAGUGAAUCAAAGUCAAGUGACUCCAAAAGUCCAUCGGUAUGGAGUUUCUUCAUGCGUCUUACACCAAUAUGACCUAAGCAGCAGUGCSACMAAAACAUAGGCGCUAUCAUUGUUAACUCUAACUCNNNNNNNNNNNNNNNNNNNNNNNNNNNNNNNNNNNNNNNNNNNNNNNNNNNNNNNNNNNNNNNNNNNNNNNNNNNNNNNNNNNNNNNNNNNNNNNNNNNNAGUUGAUACACUAAUAAAUAGCACGUGGUUGGUUAGUUCUCACGUGCGCCGACUAUCGCAAGCGGGCGCUGCUGUGCUGCGUAGCCACGUCGUUCAAUUUCCUCCUCCAAAGGGUUGAGGCAUCAGUUAGGUGCGUUAACUCUUUGCUCCUUUACAAUCUUAUUAGGGAUCGGUUCAAGAUGAUCUUAUAUUGUACUACUAAUCAGCAACUAACAAACUGUUAACAAUUUUACUAAAGCACAUUUAAAUGUGUCAUAACUAUUGCACAUCUAACCUAUGUUAUUGAUUUAAGGCGGAGAUUCGUGUGGGUGAUUUUCUUUUUUCAUUUUAUGUUUGAUUGAAUCAAUUAGAUAUGCAACAAUUAGGCAGACCAUACUCAAAAGCCCAAGUUUUGGCCACCCCAAAAUCCUAAUUCUUUUCCUAAAAUUUAUAGUAUCAUAGUUACUAUUCUGGAGGUUUUUAAUCACAUUUGAAUGAGAAAUAUCAGAGUCAUCGAUCUAUAGUGUUAUGUCUAUUUGACGGGCAGGGGGAUCCCGAUGUCUUCGCUCAUGUCAGUAGUUUAGGCUAGCGUUUUUUAGUCCUCACAAGUACGGCGCUCAAGGGGAUGGCGACACUUCUUCUUUGAGUCUGUCUUCCACGCUUCAAUAGUUUGUUCUUCUCGACGUAGUCAACGGAGUGAUGUUAAGAUUUCUCGUCAGGUGAUGAGAUUUGGUGUCUGACGCUUCAGAGCUUCAGACCUAUGCAAGUGUUCAUGGCUCCACGACGUUGGUCCUUAGGGGCACGUGUACCAGACUUCCGGUUGUCAUCGACAAGGUCAAGCCGGCUCCGACAAUGGUGAUUGCUCGAUGGUCUCGGAUUCUCGAUGUAAGUUUUGUUAUAUGUAAGAUGCUUUGUACUUUCGGUGAACUUUUAUAACAGUUCUAUAACAGAUCUGAUCCUUUUUGAACAAAAAAAGAAAAUAAAAAGUUUUCAUGUUUUCUAAUAAAAUUAGAGAAAAUCAUGAACUGCUUCAAUAACUAGUACUCUUACUGUAAACAAAUAUAAGAUGUUUUAGGUCAGUAUAAAGACCUCAUUUGUUUCCAUGGAGUCCUGAAAAUAGCAGCAGAACCCAACAUCACCACUUUCCUGUACCUCCCAGUGAAAGCAGCAACCAAUUACCAUACAAGUCAUUUAAGCAUGAAGGCUUACAGUCAAUGUCAAUAUCCCUAGAGAGGCACUUGUAAUAUCCCAAAGCAUAUCUUGCGAGAGGGCAUAGGAAGAGCAGCUGUUCUAGAGCUUCAUGCUCAUCACAAAACUCACACAAAUCAACUUCAUUCCAUCCUCUUGGCCAGAAUGCAAUUUCGGGCUACGAACCAACAUGAAACUUAAGGGGAAGUUGAGAGAAUUUACCUGAGUUAGUCAAAAGCCACAUCACUCUAUUGGUUCCUCUGACAGGCUCACCUGACUGCACAUUUGCUUCAGGUUUUGCCACAUAGUGAGAGCAUCCUCUCAAAAAGCGCCAAAAAGGCCAAAACCUAUCUAUGCCCCUGGAGAAAACUUUAUGAACAGUAUAUACGUAUGCAGUCCUCAAGUGAAACCUCUAAAAAGACUUAUAUUUAGGAACGGGGAAGUAUAUGUUAUCAUCAGUUUCCUUCCAAUUUGUAUUAGUCAGACACUUAAAAUGCCUAGGAAUGCCUAAAUACUCAAAAGGAAAGCCACAUACAUUGCAGGUAAAGAUAUGAGCAUAGAUAUCCUGCUUGUCUACAGCUGUACCAAAGCAAGUGACCUCAUUCUUGUGCAAAUUAAUCUUCAAACCAGUAAGAUGUUAAAAAUGCACAAAAUAAACUUAAGAUUUCUGGCACCCUCUACAUAAUCCUAAAAUAAGAAAAUUGGUAAGUAGACCCUUAAACAAGCCAUGGUCUUGUCUCUUGUGCUCUCUUAAUCAAGACAUCAGCUGCAAUGUAAAACAUAAGCGGGGAAAAAAGCAACCCCUCCAAUAGGCCCUUUAGGACAGAAGGCUCAGCACAAAUGAUUAAGUAGUUUCACAUGAACCAUGGUUAGAUGGUAAUGGUAGCACACUACAGAAGACCAUUGUGCAUGCUAUGACACCGUGAGAAAGUUCAUCAAAAUCGCAAGAAAAACUUGAUCAAACCAGCAAAAAGAACAUAGAAGAAGACUUGUUCAAGAAUAGAGCAUACAACACGAUUUGAACUUUCUAAGGCUUCCAAUCAAUGUGGGCAAUAUGCCAAGCAAAUAUAUUCUGACCUUCAUCAAACGGUUUCUACUGUUUUUCGAAAUAAAACUGAAUUAUUAAAGGAGAUUCAGUAAUGUAGCAAAACUUACAAGGCGAGCUCCAAUCUUUUCCAUUGCAUAGGUGAGGGUAAAGUAAUAGUACAGCUAACAAAUACUCCCUCCGUUCAUAAAUAAGUGACUAGGUUGUAGUUCAAAUUUGAAGUAAAACCACGUCACUUAUUUAUGAACAGACGUAGUACUACUUAUUUAACCAGUACACACUAAGAGCAACUCCAACCGGCCGACCCAAACAGACGGCGGUUUUGUCCGCUUUUUCUCUGUUUGGGUCGGCUGCGCCCAACGCGGGCGACCCAUUUUAUGCCCGCACAUUAGAUAAAACAGGCCAGCAUGCCAACGCCCAAGAGUUCAUGCCGGCACCAUGCCAACAGACGGCAUACAUUGCCUGCCUACAUUAAAAACCACCACGCAGUUUAUGCUGGMYRCGUGGCAGYCAGCGGCCGGCACACAUGCCAGCACGACCAAAAGCGGCGGGAACUUCCGACCACGCCANNNNNNNNNNNNNNNNNNNNNNNNNNNNNNNNNNNNNNNNNNNNNNNNNNNNNNNNNNNNNNNNNNNNNNNNNNNNNNNNNNNNNNNNNNNNNNNNNNNNUAUUACAAGCCAGGGGCCGUCGAGGGCUAGAAUACAUAAGCUCGAUAAACACACGAGUCAGCGGAAGCAACAAUAUCUGACUACAGACCAUAAAACAUGGGGUGCCUUAGAGAAGGCUAGCACAAAAGAAACACGAUCGAACGAGGCGAGGCCUCCUGCCUGGGAACCUCCUAACUACUCCUUUUCUCGGCGGCGUCCACGAAGAUGACACCAUCGGGGCGGCAGGCGUCGGCAGGAAACUCCACUCCUGGGCUCCAUCAUCUGGUCGCAGCAAACGGAAGUCAAGGGGACAAGGGGGGAGGCAAAGCAGCGGUGAGUACUCAUCCAAAGUACUCGCAAGUCUUACAUCAGAACUAUUCUAAUUAUGCAUCAUUAUCAAAGAAGGGGGGGUUAUAUGUGGACUGACUGCAGCAAUGCGAGAAUAGAGAGAGAAGGCCUAGUCCUAUCGAAGUCUAGCAUCUUCAGGAUCUUGCAGCAAUAGACGAGAGUAGAACAGGGGUAAAACAUUAAUAGUCAUAUUGUUGCAGCAAUAUUAAAGUGAGGUCGCGCCUAAAGAUCCUCCCUCGACUCCCUGCGAGGAAGCAAUCCCGAGGCAAACGAAUUCCAGUUAAGUAACCAUUGUAGUUGUAUAAGAUCGGGGCACAACUCCAAGUGGUCCUGUAACCGUGGACACGGCUAUCCGAAUAGUUAAUUUUCAUCCCUGCACGGGUGCACCACAUGUCCCGUCACGCUCGAUAACACUCUGGCCGGACAUACUUUUCUGGGUCCUGCCCGGCCUCGGAAUAUCGACACGUCGCAGCCCCACCUAAGACUAAUCAGAGAGGUCAGCCCGCCGGUCUAAAUCCUAAGCGCAAAGGGUUCAUGGGCCCAGUUCCCCUCCGCGCUCCUGCACGAUGCGAGGGCCGCCGAUGUCAGUCCUAGCAUCCCUUAAUCACAAGCGCAAUGCAUCUCGGGACCACUCGGGCGCGCGCCACUACGAUUGUUGACAUCUGAAAAGCUUCGUCUGAUACCGCGACGCCGAGUACCCAUAAUUCUUCCCGCAUAGCCGGUUAGUGCGAAAAGGUCUCCGACCAACCCAGAUCAAAUACCCAAAUCCAUUAACAUUUUAAUUAGGCCAACAACACAGUCUCACGGGAAUCCACCCGUCUUACAACUAAUCACUAAUGAUCCCAGUAACAUGGUCGAGUAACUGUGUGGUUGUAACAUCAAAGGGAAUCCGAGGUAUCACCCUCGUUGGAUUCCGAACGAUGUACCCGUCAAGGUGGGCUUAGAGGAAUCACCCUCGGGGGUCCCACACUUGAGGGGUUGCACAACAGAGGCGUCAUCGGGGAUGGUGAAAGAGGAAUCACCCUCGAUAACCAUGACCGACUAGCUAUACUAUAGAGAUAUCAUCAGGAAUGCUUAGCGAGGUGUCACCCUCGGUACCCGAUAGUAUCUCUGUAACGUCGUACAACGAAGGGGGUGAAUGUGUUGUGUCGGGUCUGGCUCGUCGAUCAGGGAUCGAGAUUUGAAAACAAGCGGGGCAACUGGACUACGGGGUCUGGAGGGGAUGACUGCUCCACCUAUACUAAGCAUAUUAAAGGUACAGGACUGACAGUAGCAGUUCAUACAAAAUAGGCUAUGCAUCAGAUAUAGGAGCUAAACUACAAUAGUAGACUAAAAUACUAAUGACAAGCAAGGUAAGGAAAGAAAGACAGUANNNNNNNNNNNNNNNNNNNNNNNNNNNNNNNNNNNNNNNNNNNNNNNNNNNNNNNNNNNNNNNNNNNNNNNNNNNNNNNNNNNNNNNNNNNNNNNNNNNNACCGACGGCGUGCGCGCCGAGCGUGCGUGACGAGGACGAGUGCNGUGCGAGCGACGAGCGCCCGACUGAGAGCGCGAAGACGUGCCGCAGCCGAAGUUGACGUGGGCACGCGCGUCGUCCGCCUUGCCGCGGGCGGUUGUCGGCGAAGGUGAAGGUCGUCGGUGGAGAGGAGGCCGGCUCGUCGCGGAGCCGUCGCCGUAGUAGUAGUAGUAGGUGCACUUGUCGCCGGCGGCGCAGGAGGAGUCCGGGAGCUCUCGGCACGCAACGGAGUCGCAGCCCACGAGGCGGUACGUCUUGGACUUGGAGGGGUCGAACACGACGCGCGGCGGCGGCGGCGGGGGAGUGGGCGUGUCGCCGGCGAACACCGGGCCAGGACCGUGGGCUCCCUUCUUGCUGCAGUUGAGCCAGACGAGGUCGCUGCCGGUGUCGGCGAUGGCGAGCAGACGGGUGGGCGGCGUGCCCACGUUCACGGCCAUCAGGUACUCGAACGGCGUGGAGGUGAGCUCGGACACGACGCCGUGGGCCGACGGUGCGUCGGCGCGGGCGUAGGAGCGCCCGAGCGCCUUCAGCACGCGGUCGUGCGCGGUGAGCGAGGGGUCGUGGAACGGCGACCCGACGGAGUCGCGGUGGAUGAACUCCACGCUAAACCCAUCGCCGCCGUACGCCGUGCAACCGCACAGCUGGGCCGUCAGGACGACGCCGACGAGCAGAAGGACACGAGAUAUCGCCGUCGUCGUCGCAGGCAUUGUGACCUAUCACUGUGGAGCUCAACUCCCAAUGCAAGGAUUGGCUGCUGCUGCUUCUGCUGCUAAUUGCUAUGCGUGGAUACAUAUAAUAGGGGAUUUUGCCGAAGUUAAUGGUGAGACGAAUUGGCAAACCAGGAUAUGAUAUGAAGUGCUGAUUAUUGACGAAUAUUAAUUACCAGCUUGCUGCAGUAAUUAUGUGCAAUUAAUUACCUUCUGCAUCAAGCAUGGAAUUAAGGGUAGGUUCUACGUAUUGGAAAGCUGGGGAUGAGGGGGAGAUCAUCUUGUGCGUGAAACUGAAGAUUCUGCUAUUAAUUCGUGAUAAAAGAUAACAAGUGAUUACUUGCCAAUCUUGCCAAUGCUUGUGAUCGGGCACUCGAGUGGCACUGAUCGAUUGAUUGGCAAGUACGUCACCGGCCACCCGGCAAAAAUUCUAGAAUGGUAAAUCUUUGUGAAAUGGUAAGGAUUAAACAGGUUAAUUUCUCGGAAAUCCAAUUUGGCUCCUGGAUGCACGUGUUUCUGUGCAUGGAAAUGAUUUUUGAAAUGUCAAAAAGUCCGAACAAAAAUUAUAUAUGUUCAUAGUCCAUCCAGAUGCUAUCUAUAAAUUUUUAGGUAAAAAGGUUAGGCACAUUUUGGUCGGUGCAAAAGAAAAUCAAACACCAAAUGUUACACCUAAAUUCACCCUUAAUUUUUUCUCGCACUGCUCCGUUUCCCAUGAAAAUUGUGAAGCAUACUUGCGACAAUAACAUAAACAUCUAUWAAAAAUAUUACUAUUUUAAAUAUUUACUAUUUUUUAUUACUGUUUAUGCAGGAGCAUGUGCACCGAGAGCCAAAAUGCCUCUUUAUGUUUCUCCUAUUUUAAGCUUUGAGUAAAAUUUACACGUGGUCACUCUACUUGUCUCGCUGAUUCACUUUGGUUCAUGUACUCAAGAACUUAGUCAGUAUGAUCACUAUAUAUCCAUCUUGAUGAUUAUACGGUCAUCAUCUAAACGUACAGCUUCGUAUUUUCUCUAUGUUGACCGGUCAACUCCCCACCCCCAUUCGAUGACAAAAAAAAAAUUAACUCCCCACCCAUCUGGGUCCACUUGUCAGUGAAUAGAGAAAAGAAUAAAGAGAAGGAUAAAUUCCUGGGAAAGUGGGGAUUUGAACCAGAGACUGCACCGCCAGAUUCACUCGCGCUAACCGGCUGCGCACGACAUGCUUUUUUCUUUUCUACUGAGCAAUCUCUUUUAUUUCAACUAGCAAAAGAGCUCGCGCGUUGCAACGGGAGAAAAACAAUUAAAUCUUCAAUGAUGCUGAUCAUGUUAUGUCUUUAAAUUUUAAGACAUUUUUGUAAAUGCAUGAACUUUUUUGAAUUAGCAAACAUUUUUUUCAAUUGCACUCAAAAAAUAAUACACAGUUUUUUUUUGAAAAUCAUGAACUUUUAUUGUUUUCACCAAGAUUUUUCUCAAAAUUAUGAACAUUUUUCUGAAUAUGCAAAUAUUUUUACAAAAACUCCGAGCAUUUUUUGAAUUCACAAACAUUUUAUGUUUUCUUCAAACUUCUAUUUCAAAAUUCUCAGUUUUAUAAAUUGCAAAAAAAAUUCAAAGUUCUAAAUUAUUUAAAUUAAAAAAUUGGAACGGAAAAUUAAAAAAAAAGAGACUAAAAACAGAGGCACAAACUGUUUUCAAGAUUUUUACACGGACUUUUGUUUAAAAUCAUUGAAUUAUAUAUUUUAUGGACAUUUUCUCAAAAUUUAAACAUUUUUUUGUAUAUGCAAACAUUUUUCAAAACUCCUGAGUUGUUUUUGAAUUCUUAAAAAAAUUAUGUUUUUUUAGAAUAUUUUCUUUCGWAAUUAUCAGUUUCUUAAAAUUUAGAAAAUUAUUUGAAGUUCUAAAUUAUUUAAAGUACUAAAACAAAUNNNNNNNNNNNNNNNNNNNNNNNNNNNNNNNNNNNNNNNNNNNNNNNNNNNNNNNNNNNNNNNNNNNNNNNNNNNNNNNNNNNNNNNNNNNNNNNNNNNNUAAUAUUAUUUACUAUUCCUUGAUUAUAUCCAUGUAUGACAAAUAAAUAAUAGUUCAACCCUUUUCCUAAUAAAAAUAGUUUAGAAACACUUCUAUACAAAAUCCAAAGAAAAUAAAUACCAACAUCCAUGAUUGUAUUAUAAAUUAGAAGAAAAACAUUUAAAAAAGACUCAUAUGAACCGUCCCAUUUCCCAUGAACAGAGACGACAAACUCCCUUGUGUGAUUUGUUUUCUUCAAGGUGAAAAUACUCUAUCAAGAAAACUAUUUGGCACAUUUUAUCACUUCCUAUACAAUUUGCAGUAUAACAUGAAAACCAACAAAACUAAAAUAAAUUAAAAAAAAMMAAGGAAAGAAAAAAAGAAAUAUCCAAAGUAAAAUAUAAAAUUAUGCAAGACUAAUAGAUCAGAGACACCAUGCGUAUAUAAAUCAUGCAAAGAAGAAGAAUUUAUUUUACACAGGUCCUUCACAUAGAAAACUUGAGCCACAUCAUUGUCCACGACGAAUGGUUCGUCUAUAUACCCAAGAUUGUUGAGAUCUACUAUUGUCAUUCCGUACUGCGGGUCUACCUUUACCCUGUCUCCUGUCAGUAUUCGACCCCUAUUUUCGACCAACCCGGAAAACGAAAACGGGGUAACCCGUUUAAAAACGGUAAACCUUUACCCUAAGUUAACGGUUAGGUAAACGGUUUACCAANNNNNNNNNNNNNNNNNNNNNNNNNNNNNNNNNNNNNNNNNNNNNNNNNNNNNNNNNNNNNNNNNNNNNNNNNNNNNNNNNNNNNNNNNNNNNNNNNNNNUUGGGAAGUAGUAGUAGGGGGGUUAGGGUCGUAAGACAAAAAGAAAGAAAGGAAUAAGUACUACAUUAACUAAGGUACAUAUCAAUGAUUGUGGAGAUGCUCAUCAAUAGAUAUUAAUAGUGAAUGAAUAGGGAUUGCCAUACAAUUGAUGCACUAGAGCUAUGAGUAUGUGAAAGACUCUUAAAGAAAACUAGUGGGUGUGCAUCCAACUUGCUUGCUCACGAAGACCUAAGGCAAUUGUGAGGAAGCCUAUCAUUGGAAUAUACAAGCCAAUUUAUAUAAUGAAAAUUUCCCACUAGCUAUACGGUGGUGACAAAAUGAGAGACUCGCAAUCAUGAAGAUCAUGGUGCUUAAUAUGCACAAGUGUAGGAAAAAGUGGUAGCAUUGUCCUUCUCUCUUCUUCUCUCUAUUUUUAUUGGUGGUCUUCGUUUCGGUCCUUCUUUUUUGUCGGUACUUUCGUUUCGGUCCUUUCUUUUUACUUUCCUUCUACUAUUGGGACUAAUGUCCUUCCUAUUAAUGUAUGNNNNNNNNNNNNNNNNNNNNNNNNNNNNNNNNNNNNNNNNNNNNNNNNNNNNNNNNNNNNNNNNNNNNNNNNNNNNNNNNNNNNNNNNNNNNNNNNNNNNUUCAUCCAAACUUGUUUUUUUAUUUUAACGUAAACAACGCUUGUCACUGAUUUGUCAUGAAAAUUAGUCUAAGCAUGUUUACGACACUAACACUAGAAUCCACAAAAAAUAAGAUUUUUUUUAAAACUAAUUUGCUUUUUCGCGUUAUUGUUCAACCGCAGCAUGUUCUCCCAGGAGCUAAAACACCACUCCUCCGAUGAAGGCACUACAUAUGCACAAAGACGGCUAGCCUAUGGGCCCAGCCUCUAUACCGUGUUAAAAAAGAUGGCUACAAACUCUCUUCGUGGCUCUAGAGCACCAAUCUCAAGUGCACACGCUGCAAUGCUAAUAACGUGACAACCUUACUACCACAUUACCUCUUUAUGUAGUACCAGAAACACAUCAUCUUCACAACUCGAAUACGAAUUCGUUUUAGGUAAUCUCUAAGUUUGGGGUUAGUUUAGUAAGUAAAAUUCCUUAAUUUUAACUUUUAACCUAUCCUAUUAGUUAGUUUGGUUUGGUCUAUUCUUUAAGUUUGGUUUAGUUUUAGUAAGUAAAGGUAAUUUACGUAAGUUUUAACGUACUUAACUUACCUAAGUAACGUAACGGGUAAACUAACGUUUACGUACCCGUUAGGGUAACUUAAAGGUAAACGUUAGGNNNNNNNNNNNNNNNNNNNNNNNNNNNNNNNNNNNNNNNNNNNNNNNNNNNNNNNNNNNNNNNNNNNNNNNNNNNNNNNNNNNNNNNNNNNNNNNNNNNNGUAGACAACAAAAUAGACAUGAUCAACAUGCUACAUUCAUUAGUUUGGUCUAGUCCAUCACAUGAUUCCUAAUGAUGUGAUCCCAUUAUCAAGUAACGACACUUGCCUAUGGUCACGAAACCUUGACCAUCUUUGAUCAAUGAGCUAGUCAACUAGAGGCUUACUAGGGACAGUGUUUUGUCUAUGUAUCCACACAAGUAUUGUGUUUCCAAUCAAUACAAUUAUAGCAUGGAUAAUAAAUGAUUAUCAUGAACAAAGAAAUAUAAUAAUAACUAAUUUAUUAUUGCUUGUAGGGCAUAUUUCCAACAGUCUCCCACUUGCACUAGAGUCAAUAAUCUAGUUCACAUCACCAUGUGAUUCUAACGAAUCCAACACCCAUAUAGUUCUGGGGUCUGAUCACGUCUUGCUUGUGAGAGAGGUUUUAGUCAAUGGUUCUAAAACUUUCAGAUCCGUGUGUUCUUUACAAAUCUUUAUGUCAUCUUAUAGAUGCUGCUACUACGUGCUAUUCGGAAAUACUCCAAAUAUCUACUCUACUAUACGAAUCCGUUUCACUACUCAUAGUUAUUCGGAUCAGUGUCAAAGCUUGCAUCAACGUACCCUUACGACGAACUCUUAACCACCUCCAUAAUCGAGAAAAUUCCUUAGUCCAUAAGUUACUAAGGAUAACUUUGACCGUGUUCAGUGAUUCAAUCCUGGAUCACUCUCUGUACCUCUUAACNNNNNNNNNNNNNNNNNNNNNNNNNNNNNNNNNNNNNNNNNNNNNNNNNNNNNNNNNNNNNNNNNNNNNNNNNNNNNNNNNNNNNNNNNNNNNNNNNNNNGUCCAACGACGUACCGCCGUCGUGGGCUGCGACUCCGUUGCGUGCCGACGAGGCUCCCGGACCUCCUACCCUCGUCGCCGCCSGSCGGACAACGUAGCACCUACUACCUACGUACUACGGCGACGGCUCCGCCGACGAGCGGCCUCCUCUCCACCGAGACCUUCACCUUCGCCGACAACGCCCGCGGCAAGCGGACGACGCGCGUGCCCAACGUCAACUUCGGCUGCGGCACGACCUUCGUCGGCUCCUUCAUCGGGGACGGCCUCGUCGGCCUCGGCAACAGCAACCUGUCCCUCGUCACGCAGCUCGGCGCGCACGCCUCGGUCGGCCGGAGGUUCUCCUACUGCCUCGUGCCCUACUCCAUCAACGCCUCCUCCGCUCUCAACUUCGGCGCCCGCGCCGCCGUGACGGAGCCGGGAGCGGCCACGACGCCGCUGGUCCCGUCCAGGGUGAAGACCUACUACACCAUCGACCUCGUGUCCGUCAAGGUCGGCCACGCGACCUACAAGGCGCCGCACCGGUCGUCCCCCGCCAUCGUCGACUCCGGCACAACGCUGACGUUCCUCGACAAGGCGCUGCUAGACCCACUGGUGAAGGAGCUGGCCGGGCGGAUCAAGCUCCCGAAGGCCGCGCCGCGGGCGGACCUCGGCCUGCCGCUGUGCUACAACGUGAGCGGGCUACGGGGRGGGCAGRAUCGGCGGCGAAGACUCCCKUGACGUGAGCGUGGGCUGGGCGGCGGCGCGGCNNNNNNNNNNNNNNNNNNNNNNNNNNNNNNNNNNNNNNNNNNNNNNNNNNNNNNNNNNNNNNNNNNNNNNNNNNNNNNNNNNNNNNNNNNNNNNNNNNNNGGUGAGGAGCGUUCAGGAGGCUGCGCAGGGGACAGACCCCAUGCUCGGCGAGGAGGUGCGCCGCCGGGCCUCGCUCCAAGCCGCGAGGUACUAGCAGGCCUUAUGGCGCUAUCACUGCCGCAACAUCCACUACAGGACCGUUGAAGUCAGUGACCUCGUCCUGAGGCGGGUUCAGUCCAGGGAGGGCUUGCAUAAGCUCUCGCCCAUGUGGGAGUGCCCGUUCAAGGUCGCCCAUGUCUCCGGUAUUAGCGCCGUGCACCUGGGGACUCACGAGGGUGUUCCCAUCUAGAAUGCUUCAAACAUCCAACUUCUCCGGAUGUUCCACCCGCAAUGCCUCUGCCCUGCCUCUGCAUCGUCCUACAAUUCUUUUGGAACCUACUUCAUCUCGUGACACUCUCACAUAAUAAAGAGCUGCGGCUAUAUAUGCCUGGCCGCCCGUCCGGAGGGACCGGGGGACGGGGUCCCCCUCCCGACCGGUCCCUAGGUCGGCCACUCCCCUGCCACGUCCGGCGGUCGGGGAGAACGGACGGAGGCAAGUCCAACUCGACGUCCGACCAAGUCGACUAUCGCCCGACAACGUGGACAAGCAAANNNNNNNNNNNNNNNNNNNNNNNNNNNNNNNNNNNNNNNNNNNNNNNNNNNNNNNNNNNNNNNNNNNNNNNNNNNNNNNNNNNNNNNNNNNNNNNNNNNNAAAAAAUCAGGGGAGCCUCGAAAAAACUUUUCCGCCGCCGCAAGCUUCCAUUUCCGCAAGAUCUCAUCUGGAGACCCUUCCCAGCGCCCUGCCGGAGGGGACUUUGGAGUUGGAGGGCUUCUUCAUCAUCAUCAUCGCCCCUCCAAUGACUCGUGAGUAGUUCACUUCAGACCUACGGGUCCGUAGUUAGUAUCUAGAUGGCUUCUUCUCUCUCUUGGAUCUUCAAUACAAAGUUCUCCAUGAUCUUCAUGGAGAUCUAUCCAAUGUAAUCUUCUUUGGUGGUGUGUUUGUCGAGAUCCGAUGAAUUGUGGAUUUGUGAUCAGAUUAUCUAUGAUAUAUAUUUGAGUCUUUGCUGAUUUCUUAUAUGCAUGAUUUGAUAUCCUUGUAAGUCUCUCCGAGUUCUUGGGKUUUGUUGGCCAACUAGAUCUAUGAUUCUUGCAAUGGGAGAAGUGCUUGGGUUUGGGUUCUGCCAUGUGGUGACCUUUCCAAUGACAGGUAGGGCACGUCAAGGCACGACANNNNNNNNNNNNNNNNNNNNNNNNNNNNNNNNNNNNNNNNNNNNNNNNNNNNNNNNNNNNNNNNNNNNNNNNNNNNNNNNNNNNNNNNNNNNNNNNNNNNAUUUUUUUCAAAAACAACUUCGAUGUUAGAUGAAGCAACCUUAGUGCUAAACAGAAGCAACUUUGAUGCUAGAUGAAUUGCAUUGUGUGUAUACACAUGAGUUGCUUGUUGAAUGCAUUGGAGUUGCGCAAGAACACACUAAAAGUUGCUUAACUUUUUUGUGAUACUCGAAUGCAAUUAUGGCAACUAUUUACAAAAAGCAGGCAACUGGACAUCAAUGGUAGGCAACUGAACAUCAACCGUAGGCAAUUGAUUAUCAAUAAUAGGACAACUAAGCAUCAAAAUUGAACAAUUUCAUAGUAUUUUGUAGGCAACUGAGCAUCAAAAUUAAGCAAUUUCACAAUAUUUGUAGGCAACUUAGCAUCAAUCAUAGGCAACUUAGCAUCAUUGUUUAAUUAUGUAAAGCUUAUAGAGGUGAAUCUAGUCAAAUGUUAGUCACGUACGUAACCUAGUAAGAAAGUACUUCGUCGUACUUAAGUAGUAUUACGUACUAACGUAAACCGGGGGGUAAAAGGGGGGGAAAGGUUAGGUUCGUCGUUCCGUACCUUAAGUACGAACUUAAAAAGNNNNNNNNNNNNNNNNNNNNNNNNNNNNNNNNNNNNNNNNNNNNNNNNNNNNNNNNNNNNNNNNNNNNNNNNNNNNNNNNNNNNNNNNNNNNNNNNNNNNGUUCUCGUAUGUAAGUUUUAGUUUAUUAUGUUAAGAUAGUCUUUGUACUUUCGGUUGAACUUUUAUUAACUAAGUUACUUAUUAACAAGAAUACUGUAUACCUUUUUAGUAACUAAAAAAAAGAAAAAUAAAAAAGUUUUACUAUAGUUUUCUUAAUUAAAAUUAAGUAGAAAAUACAUGAACUGCUUCAAUAACUAGUACUCUUACUGUAAACAAAUAUAAGAUGUUUUAGGUUCAGUAUAAAGACCUCAUUUGUUUCCAUGGAGUCCUGAAAUAGCAGCAGAACCCAACAUCACCACUUUCCUGUACCUCCCAGUGAAAGCAGCAACCAAUUACCAUACAAGUCAUUUAAGCAUGAAGGCUUACAGUCAAUGUCAAUAUCCCUAGAGAGGCACUUGUAAUAUCCCAAAGCAUAUCUUGCGAGAGGGCAUAGGAAGAGCAGCUGUUCUAGAGCUUCAUGCUCAUCACAAAACUCACNCUUAAAACGUUACCGUAAACCGUUUACCGUAACGUUUACCCGUAACGUUACCCGUUACCGUUUACGGGUACCCGUAACGGUAAACGUUACGGUACCGUAAACGUUUUACCGGGUACCGUUAACCGGUAACCCGUAAACGUACGUACGGUAAACCGUUAACGGGGUAACGUUACGGUAACGUACGGUAACGUUUACCGUACGGUACNNNNNNNNNNNNNNNNNNNNNNNNNNNNNNNNNNNNNNNNNNNNNNNNNNNNNNNNNNNNNNNNNNNNNNNNNNNNNNNNNNNNNNNNNNNNNNNNNNNNACGCCACGUAUGUGAGUUUAGUAUAGUUUCAGUGGUAAGCAUCCCUAUGCUAAUCAUAUCAACUAUAUGAUUCAUGAUCGACCUUUCGGUCUCAUGNGUUUCGAGGCCAUGUCUGCACAUGCUAGGCUCGUCAAGCUUAACCCGAGUGUUCCGCGUGUGCAACUGUUUUGCACCCAUUGUAUGUGAACGUGGAGUCUAUCACACCCGAUCAUCGCGUGGUGUCUCGAAACGACGAACUGUAGCAACGGUGCACAGUCGGGGAGAACACAAUUUCGUCUUGAAAUUUUAGUGAGAGAUCACCUCAUAAUGCUACCGUUGUUUUAAGCAAAAUAAGGUGCAAUAAAAGGAUUAACAUCACAUGCAAUUCAUAAGUGACAUGAUAUAGCCAUCAUCAUGUGCUUCUUGAUCUCCAUCACCAAAGCACCGGCAGUGAUUCCUUUCUUUGUCAGUCCGGCCSCACACCAUGAUCUCCAUCAACGUGUCGCCAGUCGGGGUUNUCGUGCUACUCAUGCUAUUACUAACUAAGCUACAUCCUAGACUAAUAUAAGUAAACGCUAUAUCGACAAGUACCAAACGUUAAACGUUUAAGGUUAAACACCCUAACCUUAGUUCGCCUUCCGUCGGUCCGGUUNNNNNNNNNNNNNNNNNNNNNNNNNNNNNNNNNNNNNNNNNNNNNNNNNNNNNNNNNNNNNNNNNNNNNNNNNNNNNNNNNNNNNNNNNNNNNNNNNNNNCCAAGUUCCCGAGCUCGCCGCCAUGGCGUUCGCCCCUGGCCUCCCGAGCCGUUCCCCACCGGCUGCUCUGUUCCGAGGCGCCGCGCUACUGUUCCUCGCCGUCCCCGUGCGCGCCUCCAGUGCCCUGCCCGGCCUCCUCCUGCCGAGGUUGCUGUUGCCUGCCUUGGCGUUGCUCGCCUUGCCAUGUGCUGUUUUGCUGCUAUUGCAUGCUGUUGCUGUUGCCUUUGCUCGUAGCUGCCUGCUGUGGCUGUCGCCGUAGCCACCGCCGAGUUGCUGCUAUAGUUGCCAAUGUUGUCGCUAUGCACGCGGCUGUAGCAUGCCUGAGGAUGCUGCCUGCCGAGUGCUCGUCCUGUUGCUCGCCGUAUUCGCUUGCCUGCUAUCGUCUUAGUUUAGGUUGUUAGUUACGUCGUUUGGUUCGGUUUCGUCCGUUUGGUUCGUCCGUUUCGUUCGGUCCGUUCGGUCCGUUCGGUCCCCGGUUAGUUCGGUUCCGUUUGGUUUCGGUNNNNNNNNNNNNNNNNNNNNNNNNNNNNNNNNNNNNNNNNNNNNNNNNNNNNNNNNNNNNNNNNNNNNNNNNNNNNNNNNNNNNNNNNNNNNNNNNNNNNAGUCACUUACACAUGCAUUAGUUGAGUUGUUUAUAUUCUGGACAGAAUCUCAUGUUAAUUUAUCUUGACAUGCAUGAACAUGGCAUAAUCAUACUCAUCACGAGAAAACGAUGACAAAAACAUUUGAAGAACAUCGUCAAUAGAGUAUCGGAUCAACCGGAAACUAUAAAACAAGUUACGAAGGCCUACGUGUUCAAAACAUCCACAAACACAAUUAUAUGGGCACUCAAAACCAUCAACCAUAGCUCACACAAAACCAUCAACCAUAGCUCACACAAGCACCAAAUGCACAAGCACCAAAAUACAAGUGACAUGGUGUUGGAUAACACACAAAACCAUCAACCAUAGCUCACACAAGCUCAAAAGCCAAUUUGACACCAAUCUGUUUACAACAGCAACAUAGCUACUUUGAUCACAAGAUGUAUAGCAGCUACAACCCUACUAAAUAAUWCAAACAAGACAAUUAAACUAGAAACCAUCCAACUUCAUUACCAACCUAUAACGAAGUAGACGAAAGCRAMGGGCCACAACAUACGAAUAGUAUUUANNNNNNNNNNNNNNNNNNNNNNNNNNNNNNNNNNNNNNNNNNNNNNNNNNNNNNNNNNNNNNNNNNNNNNNNNNNNNNNNNNNNNNNNNNNNNNNNNNNNAGGCUUGUGUGUGAUGUUGUAUUACCGAGUGGGCCCCGAGAUACCUCUCCGUCACACGGAGUGACAAAUCCCAGUCUUGAUCCAUACUAACUCAACGAACACCUUCGGAGAUACAUGUAGAGCACCUUUAUAGUCACCCAGUUACGUUGUGACAUUUGGUACACACAAGGCAUUCCUUUGGUGCCAGUGAGUUAUAUGAUCUCAUGGUCAUAGGAAUAAAUACUUGACACGCAGAAAAACUAGUAGCAACAAAAUGACAUGAUCAACAUGCUACAUUCAUUAGUUUGGGUCUAGUCCAUCACAUGAUUCUCCUAAUGAUGUGAUCCCAUUAUCAAGUAACGACACUUGCCUAUGGUCACGAAACCUUGACCAUCUUUGAUCAAUGAGCUAGUCAACUAGAGGCUUACUAGGGACAGUGUUUUGUCUAUGUAUCCACACAAGUAUUGUGUUUCCAAUCAAUACAAUUAUAGCAUGGAUAAUAAAUGAUUAUCAUGAACAAAGAAAUAUAAUAAUAACUAAUUUAUUAUUGCUUGUAGGGCAUAUUUCCAACAGUCUCCCACUUGCACUAGAGUCAAUAAUCUAGUUCACAUCACCAUGUGAUUCUAACGAAUCCAACACCCAUAUAGUUCUGGGGUCUGAUCACGUCUUGCUUGUGAGAGAGGUUUUAGUCAAUGGUUCUAAAACUUUCAGAUCCGUGUGUUCUUUACAAAUCUUUAUGUCAUCUUAUAGAUGCUGCUACUACGUGCUAUUCGGAAAUACUCCAAAUAUCUACUCUACUAUACGAAUCCGUUUCACUACUCAUAGUUAUUCGGAUCAGUGUCAAAGCUUGCAUCAACGUAACCCUUACGACGAACUCUUUAACCACCUCCAUAAUCGAGAAAAAUUCCUUAGUCCAUAAGUACUAAGGAUAACUUGACCGUUGUUCAGUGAUUCAAUCCUGGAUCACUCUCUGUACCUCUUAACACGACUUGUGGCAAGGCACACAGGGGAUAGGNNNNNNNNNNNNNNNNNNNNNNNNNNNNNNNNNNNNNNNNNNNNNNNNNNNNNNNNNNNNNNNNNNNNNNNNNNNNNNNNNNNNNNNNNNNNNNNNNNNNCUUUUCGGGUUAGUUCUUUUAACUUUUAGUUUACCUUCUUUUCGGUAGUUUUUUCCUUUACUACCUUAAAGGGUACGUAACAACUACUAUAGUUUUACUAAGAAUAAAAGAAGAAUACUCUACACUUUAUAAGAAGUAACUCAACAUAAAGAACACAUGAAACUAAUCAUGAUGUAUGCAAAUGUAUGCCUGUGCCAGUGUAGCAGGAUAUGCAAUGAAACUAGCGCGUCAUGUAGCGAUAAUAAGGGCAAGGCCCAACUAGCAUGCGGCUCCUCGGUCAAGGAAAAGCAUGUAUGUCAUGAAGAUCAAGUCAUGAGAUGGUGGAUGUUGCAUGGCAAUGUAUCUCGGAAAGGCUAUGGAAAUGCCUUAAUAGGUAGGUAUGGUGGCUGUUUUGAGGAAGGAUAUAAUGAGGCUUAUGAUGACAGAGCGUAUCAUGCCAAGGGUUUGGAUGCACCGGCGAAGUUUGCACCAACUCUCAAGAUGGAAGGAAGGACUAGUCGACGGUACCGGUAACGAAGGCGUACGUACGAACUAAANNNNNNNNNNNNNNNNNNNNNNNNNNNNNNNNNNNNNNNNNNNNNNNNNNNNNNNNNNNNNNNNNNNNNNNNNNNNNNNNNNNNNNNNNNNNNNNNNNNNUUGUUCUUUGGUAUGUACUUGCCCUAGAUUCGAUCGUCAGUAUCCGCAUACUUAUUUCAAUCUCGUUUACCGGUCAAGUCUCUUUACUCGUUCCGUAAUACAACGAUCCGCAACUUACACUAAGUCACAUUGCUUGCAAGGCUUGUGUAUGAUGUUCGUAUUACCGACGUGGGCCCCGAGAUACCUCUCCGUCACACGGAGUGACAAAUCCCAGUCUUGAUCCAUACUAACUCAACUAACACCUUCGGAGAUACCUGUAGAGCAUCUUUAUAGUCACCCAGUUACGUUGCGACGUUUUGAUACACNCAAAGCAUUCCUCCGGUGUCAGUGUGUUAUAUGAUCUCAUGGUCAUAGGAAUAAAUACUUGACACGCAGAAAACAGUAGCAACAAAAUGACACGAUCAACAUGCUAYGUCUAUUAGUUUGGGUCUAGUCCAUCACAUGAUUCUCCUAAUGAUGUGAUCCCGUUAUCAAGUGACAACACUUGCCUAUGGUCAGGAAACCUUGACCAUCUUUGAUCAACGAGCUAGUCAACUAGAGGCUUACUAGGGACAGUGUUUUGUCUAUGUAUCCACACAUGCACUAUGUUUCCAAUCAAUACAAUUAUAGCAUGGAUAAUAAACGAUUAUCAUGAACUAAGAAAUAUAAUAAUAACUAAUUUAUUAUUGCCUCUAGGGCAUAAUUUCCGAUAAGUCUCCCACUUGCACUAGAGUCAAUAAAUCUAGCUCACAUCACCAUGUGAUUCCAACGAAUCCAACACCCAUAUAGUUAUGGGGUCUAGAUCACGUAUUGCUCGUGAGACAGAUUUUAGCAACGGUUCUGAAACUUUCAGAUCCGUGCAUUCUUUACAAAUUCUUUAUGUCAUCUUACWGAUGCUUGCUACUAUGUNCUAGUCGAAAUCUACCAAAUNUCCUACUCUACUAUACGNNNNNNNNNNNNNNNNNNNNNNNNNNNNNNNNNNNNNNNNNNNNNNNNNNNNNNNNNNNNNNNNNNNNNNNNNNNNNNNNNNNNNNNNNNNNNNNNNNNNAUAGUCAUCCUACAUGUCACGAUCCUGUCUCGAGAAUGACCAUCUCACUCUCAUCACUAGUAAUGCAGGCUCUUUGCUAGCACAGAGAAAACACACACACAAAACCUUCUUCUGGCUCACCACUUCUUUCUCAGGUGGUCACCAUCUCAACCCAUCCACCCUCGGGCAUCAGUGGCACCCGACGUGGUUUUCGAAAAGUCUUUUGAAAUAACCUCCGUGGUACCAUCACCAUGCAUAUGCUCAUCCUACGCAUCGCACUACUAAUAAACCUAUUGKCUUUUUAUCUGCGUCGACCCUCAUAGAUGGUAGGGUCAUGCUAAAAUGCAAGUGCUAUCGAGGAACCGUCGGAAACACCAUAUCGAGGAUUUUACUGAUUCCAUCUUGAUCAUCUACAUUGGAAUGAAUAAUGAACAUGGAAUGCAUGAAAUAUUUUCUCACACAUGGUCAAAGGGCAGCUUCCCUUGGUCAGCAAAGUCUCCUAGGUCUUCGACGUUUUCGGGUCCAACUCCUUCGUCAAUCACGUGAUCUAUCAUCGUGAUAAUAAUNNNNNNNNNNNNNNNNNNNNNNNNNNNNNNNNNNNNNNNNNNNNNNNNNNNNNNNNNNNNNNNNNNNNNNNNNNNNNNNNNNNNNNNNNNNNNNNNNNNNACUUUUUGAGCAAGAAUAUUUUUUUGAAAUUAAAAUGAAAACUUAAACUACAAGAAUUUUUUGAAAUUCAAAAGAUUUAUUUGAAAGAAGACAUUUGAAAAAAGGGAAAAACAAAGAAUACUGAUAAAAGAAACAACAGAAAGAAAUCAAAAGAGAUGAAAACUAAUUGAAGUAGGCUAAAAAAAUCCAGGUCAUGUAGCAUGUUCUAUUCGUUGAAUGGGCCGGCCUAUCUCAUUCGCUACUUGACCUAUGUUUAAAUUUCUGCAACAUGCACUACAAGAAAAAAAUUAAUAAGCUGAGUGCCCGAAACACUAGACUUAUAACAGUUUACAUUGGGUUUAUAUAUAAGCCGAGUGUUUUCCCUGAUUUAUACCAUACAACUUACUAAGGACCGGCUUAUCAGGUGUAAGCUGAGAGUCACAACGAAAACACACAAUUUAUAUAUAAGCCAAGUGUUAACAGACACACGAUUUAUACAUGACGGCAUCCUGAUAGUAACGUCAAGCCAUAUGUUCGUUUAUAUAAGUUGAGUCACUUGCGCCUAUGCGAAGGGGCGAGUAUUUUCCACGGAAUGCACCAAAUAGGAAUUGUCUAGAUAGGAGUAUGGGCUGCCGAAAUAGCAGCCCAUAAGUGGGCAUAAUAAAAGCACAGGACCACAACUCUCGUUAUAGCUAGACUUUAAAACUUCUCAUUAUUAUACUACCAUAGAGGAAUAACUCAGAGUAACAUAAGGUUAACUACAAUUAAAUUUGUUUAUGUGUACUAAUUAUUAAUAAGAAAAUAUAAAUUAAUAAUAUANNNNNNNNNNNNNNNNNNNNNNNNNNNNNNNNNNNNNNNNNNNNNNNNNNNNNNNNNNNNNNNNNNNNNNNNNNNNNNNNNNNNNNNNNNNNNNNNNNNNAUACAAAAGGUAAAAAGGAAAAAUUGUAAAAAUCAAAAGGACUGUGAAUUCAAAAUUGUUCAUGGAUUUUGAAAAAAAGUUACAACAAACUGAAAAAAGUUCAUGAGUUUGCAAAAAGUUCGUUGAUUUUGUAAAAAAAGUACAUCAUUGUUUUAGAGUACACUGGUUUUGAAAAAAUAGUUCAUCGAUUUUGAAGAAAAUGUUUAUGAUUUUUAAAAAAUACGUGGGUUUUUGGGAAAGUUGCUUAAGUUGGUCAAAAAAUCAUGAAUGUUGAUAUUUGUUUCUAUAAAGUUGGUCAAAAUUUACGGAGUUUGACUUCAGACAAAUCUUAUAUGGAGAGUACAAAGGACCGGAGGGAGUACAUGCACAUUAUUGCUCCUAUGUUUUCUCUUAUUGUUUUUUGUGAGGAUCUUAUGUUUUCUCUUCUCCAACGAAGUUAUGCCCAACCGUUAUUGAGUCUUGGCGGGUGUAUGUGGUUCUCUUUGUGUCCUUAACUAAAUUGCCUAUUAUUCUUUUCAUCUUAAAUUUAUUGCUGUUUUGCUGUAGAAUUCAAUACUACUUUCUCAAUGUACAAUAUAUUAGGNNNNNNNNNNNNNNNNNNNNNNNNNNNNNNNNNNNNNNNNNNNNNNNNNNNNNNNNNNNNNNNNNNNNNNNNNNNNNNNNNNNNNNNNNNNNNNNNNNNNUGAUGAAUAUGAUAUUUGUCGACAAUAAUUGAAAGUGGGAUUGGAGAAGUCAUGACUUUAUUUGUAUGACAAUUACCACUAUUUUUGUAAGAGCGUCAACUUUGUCAUGCAUGUGGAUCAUGAAAAUAAUAUCCUAUGGGAUAGCUAUAUUGUUGAAUUUGAAAAUGAUCCCACGUGUAAUUGCUAUGAGAGAGGAAAAUAUUUUGGUAGAAACUUUUAUGUUACCAAAUCACCUCUCGUGAUGUUGAGAUUGCUCUUGUCUCUUUCUUCUUCCUUGCAUAUGGCAGCUAUUGGUUGUCUUGACAAUUUGUUUUCCUAUAAAAUGCCUAUGCAUAGGAAGUAUGUUAGACUUAGAUGUGAUUUUCACAUGCUUUAGGAUUCUCUCGUUGUGCUUCAAUUCUUGUCUUUUGUGAGAGCAUCAUUCAAUGCCUAACUAAGGGCGUUAAACAAAAAGCGCUUGUUGGGAGGCAACCCAACGAAUCUAUCAUUUUUCUUUCUGUUUUGUGUUUUUCACACUUUCAUAAUUCUGUUAUGAUUGUGUUUUUGUGUUUCUUUUUGCGUUUGUGCCAAGAAAAACCGUUACGAUUAGUCUUGGGGAUGAUCGUUUGGUCAUGCUGGAAAAGACAGAAACUUUCUACUCACGAAAAGAAUUUUCAUUUUUUUUCUGUAAGAGCUUUUGAGUUGAUUAUUUUUGCUUCUAAUUGCUACGUAAAUUCUUGAGACUGUCAUAAUUUUUCAGAAGUUUUGAAGUACCAGAGGUAUACGAAAUAUACAGAUCUCUACAGACUGGUCUGCUGUUAACAGAUUCUGUUUUUUGUUGUGUUGGUUGCUUAUUUUGAUGAAACUAUGGAUAGUAUCGGGGAUAUUAGCCAUGGAAGAUUGAAAGUACAGUAACCCAACAUCAGCAUAAGUAGAAUUUAAGUUUGCUACAGUACCUAAGGAAGUGGUGGUUUGCUUUCUUGUACUAAUGUUACCACGAGUUUCUGUUUAAGUUUCGUGUUGUUGAAGUUUUCAGUUUUGGGUGUAAGUUCUUAUNNNNNNNNNNNNNNNNNNNNNNNNNNNNNNNNNNNNNNNNNNNNNNNNNNNNNNNNNNNNNNNNNNNNNNNNNNNNNNNNNNNNNNNNNNNNNNNNNNNNACGUCCACGUUCCAUUUAAGUAUGGUGAGUAUGGUGGUUGCUGGCUAUAUGUUGUUGUCAUGUCAUCUAUAACCAAGCAUAUAGCUGACAAGUAGAAGAGUGAUAUAUAAAUAUGUACUAUUAUAUUGAUCUAUGGCACACCUCACUCUCUCACAUUGUCUCUUGGAGCAUGUGUUGCAAUUGGUUAUUAAUCUAUAGCUUGUUUCUCUUCUUCCUCCUCCAACUCAGCCAAAAAAUAAUAUUUAAUGUCUUACAACCUACCUACAUCAUCUUAUUGUAUUUCCUCUAAUAAUAGACAUACGCUUGAACAAACUUCCAACUAUUGCUUAUCUACAUCUCUAAUUAAGUGGUUGACUAAUUAAUUAAUUGCACUAAUGGCUUGAUUUCAUAAUUGAUUUGGCACACAAAAAUCCCUAUUUAAAUGGAUAUAAUUAAUUACAGCCGUAAUUAAUUGUUUGAUUAAUUAAUUAUAUUAAUGGCUUGAUUUUCAAAUUGAUUUGAUGCUUGGGUUUCAAAUUGUUUUUCCAUUAAUGACUAGAUACCAAUGAAACGGCACACAUACUCCUCUAUUGUUUUUUCUUUUGCUUUUGCAUUAGGGAAAUGUAGUGUUUUUUGUGCGUGUGAGAAUGUGGGAGUUGAUGCUAUUUUUUCGGUAGGGGGAUCGAAAGGGAGGGAUGUUGGAUGUACCACAUACAAUCCCAACUCCCUUUUAAUAUUAGAGAUAUGGUUAGGAAAAUUUUCUUACUACUUCCUCCAUUCCUUUAUGUAAGGUGUAUAAUUUUUGACACGGUGAUCAAGGCACAUAAGUAUAGAGUGUAGAAAAUNCGUGCGAUUAUGAUAGUGGCAGUAAUCAAUGAGUCUAGGAAAUAAAAGAUACACGCAAUCGAGAGAAAGAUUGGCUUUCUUUUUAACACAAGUGGCGUNNNNNNNNNNNNNNNNNNNNNNNNNNNNNNNNNNNNNNNNNNNNNNNNNNNNNNNNNNNNNNNNNNNNNNNNNNNNNNNNNNNNNNNNNNNNNNNNNNNNAUUAUUAUACUACCCAUAGAGGAAAUAACUUCAGGAGUAACAUAAGGUUUAACUCAAUAAAUUUGUUUAUGUGACAAUUAUUUAAUAAGGAAAAUAUAAAUUAAAUAAUAUGACUAGUUAUUCACACUAUGAGUAACAUCACACGUGUGAAGACAAAGUGAGUCUAUAAUAUAAAAUUUAAUGAAUGAAGUGUUACAUGACACCACAUAUGUUACUCUAUACAUAUGUUUCAUCGACAAAAAAAAAAAGAAUAACAUAUGCAUGUUAAUGGUCGAAGUUAUUCCACACUGACCAGUCUUAACGGUUCGUCCUCCAGAAAAUGAAGUUUAGUUUGCAAGCAUAGCAAAUCCUUGCAAAAACUGAGCUGAAAUGGAUUCAUCAAUUUUACAAGCUAAACUUGUCACCCUGGGCCAACAUAUGCUAUCAURCRWRSCGUUCCCAAUUACCAUGCUUCGCCGCUGCCCUCCUUCACUGGUUAAGCCGCUGCAUUAUUCUUAUACUCCCUUCGUUCCUAAAUAUAAAUCUUUUAAACGAUUUUACUAAGGGUCUACAUACGAAANNNNNNNNNNNNNNNNNNNNNNNNNNNNNNNNNNNNNNNNNNNNNNNNNNNNNNNNNNNNNNNNNNNNNNNNNNNNNNNNNNNNNNNNNNNNNNNNNNNNUAUUUUUCUAUUUCCUUUUCUAACACAAUGUCAAUUUUUUCUACACACAAUGACCUUUUAAUAUACAUAAAGAGCAUUUUUUAAACAUUUUUAAAAUACACGAUCUAUAAUUUUACAAAUAUAUUCAUUUCUUGUAUACAACAAUAACAUUUUUCAUACAUGAUUAUUAAAUUUUACAUACGUGAUUAACAUUUUUUUUAAUAUAUUUUUUCUAAGUAUUUUUUUAUGUAGGUUCUAAAUUUUGUGUAUACAUAUGAAACAUUAAUUGUAUACAUGUUUCACAUUUUUCAACUACAUGACAAACCUUUUUUCAGAAUGUAUAUUUUUGUUGUCUACAUUUGACACAUACAUUGUACUAUUUUCUUCAUAUACAUGAGUAACAUGAUUUAAACAUGUUUAAUUAAUUUUUUACAAAUAAUAGUUUCGUUGUUUUAUUUUYUCAUACACAAUGUACUAUUUUUAUAUACAUAAUAAAACUWUUAUUUAAUAUUCUAUUUAACAUAUUCCANNNNNNNNNNNNNNNNNNNNNNNNNNNNNNNNNNNNNNNNNNNNNNNNNNNNNNNNNNNNNNNNNNNNNNNNNNNNNNNNNNNNNNNNNNNNNNNNNNNNACCUUUCUCUUUCAUAGAUCUUCUUUCUUAUUGCAUAUCUUCACCACGGAGGAAUAGAAUACCUCUCUUCUUUUGAAUAGGUUCCGGAGGUGGUUCAGGGAGUGUCCAAUCAUCGACAUUUKKCAAUAUGUUAUUCAAUAAUUCUUCAUCUUGUCCGAAAGUUCUUUACCUUGAAAACACAACCAGCACAACUAUCUAGGAAAUCCCUAGAGGCAUCGGUUAUACCAUUAUAAAACAUAUCUAAGAAUUUCAUUUUYYUAAGAGAAUGAUCAGUCAAAGCUCUAAGUAACUGGAUAAGCCUCCCCCAAGCUUGAGGGAGAUUCUCUUCUUCAAUUUGCACAAAAUUAAAUAUUUCCUGUAAGGCAGGUUGUUUCUUAUGAGCAGGAAAAUAUUUUGCAGAAAAAUAAUAAAAGCAUAUCAUGGGGACUACGCAUACAACCAGGAGCCGGACAAAGGAACCAUUCCCUGACCUCGCCUUUUAGMKACGWRRSGWAAAAAGCUUAAGGAUAUAANNNNNNNNNNNNNNNNNNNNNNNNNNNNNNNNNNNNNNNNNNNNNNNNNNNNNNNNNNNNNNNNNNNNNNNNNNNNNNNNNNNNNNNNNNNNNNNNNNNNUAGGGCGAAUUCUUCUUGCUACUUCUCUUGUUUUGCGUCGGGUUUUCCCUUGAAGAUGACAGGGUGAUGCAGCACAGGAGCAGUAAGUAUUUCCCUCAGUUUGAGAACCAAGGUAUUGAUCCAGAAGGAGGGUCUCGUCAAGUCCAGAGUACCUGUGCAAACACAAACAAGCUUGCACCCAACGCUUCAAAGAGGUUGUCAAUCCCUUCAAGAUUGUUUGCAAAGUGAGAUCUGAAGGCGGAAAGUGCAACGAAGUAAAAAAGUGUAAGGCUGAAAAUAUGGUGUGGAGUAGUCCCGGGGGCCAUAGUGUUCACUAGAGGCUUCUCUCAAAAUAGCAAAUAUCACGGUGGGUGAACAAAUUACUGUCGAGCAAUUGAUAGAACCGCGCAAAGUCAUGACGAUAUCUAAGGCAAUGAUCAUACAUAUAGGCAUCACGUCCGAGACAAGUAGACCGAUACUUUCUGCAUCUACUACUAUUACUCCACACAUCGACCGCUAUCCAACAUGCAUCUAGUGUAUUGAGUUCAUGACGAACAGAGUAACGCCUUAAGCAAGAUGACAUGAUGUAGAGGGAUAUUCUCAAACCAAUGAUGAAAACCCCAUCUUUCUACCCUUGAUGGCAACAACAUGAUGCGUGCCUCGCUACCCCUUCUGUCACUGGGUGAGGUCACCGCAUGGUAUGAACCCAAAACCAAGCACUUCUCCCAUUGCAAGAAUCAUAGAUCUAGUUGGCCAAACAAAACCCACAACUCGAAGAGAAUUACAAGGAUAUGAAAUCAUGCAUAAGAGAGAUCAGAAGAAAUUCGUAUGUAACCUGAUCAUAAAUCCACAAUUCAUCGGAUCUCGACAAAUACACCGCAAAAGAAGAUUACAUCGGAUAGAUCUCCAUGAAGAUCAUGGAGAACUUUGUAUUGAAGAUCCAAGAGAGAGAAGAAGCCAUCUAGUUACUAGCUAUGGACCCGUAGGUCUAUGGUGAACUACUUACGCAUCAUCGGAGAGGUCAUGGUGUUGAUGAAUAAGCCCUCCGUGUACGAAUCCCUCCUCCGGCAGGGCACCAGAACGUGCCCCAGAUGGGAUCUUGCGAAGACAGAAGCUUGCGGCGACGGAAAAGUACUUUCAAUGAUCUCCUGAUUUUUUUGGGAUUUUUAGGGAAUAUAUAGGCGCAACCCCUAGAGCAGAGGGCGCCCAUGUUGGAAAUAUGCCCAAGAGGCAAUAAUAAAUUAGUUAUUAUUAUAUUUGUUUGUUCAUGAUAAUUGUUUAUUAUCCAUGCUAUAAUUGUAUUGAUUGGAAACACAAUACUUGUGUGGAUACAUAGGCAAAACACUGUCCCUAGUAAGCCUCUAGUUGACUAGCUCGUUGAUCAAAGAUGGUCAAGGUUUCCUGACCAUAGGCAAGUGUUGUUACUUGAUAACGGGAUCACGUCAUUAGGAGAAUCAUGUGAUGGACUAGACCCAAACUAAUGAACGUAGCAUGUUGAUCGUGUCAUUUUGUUGCUACUGUUUUUCUGCAUGUCAAGUAUUUAUUCCUAUGACCAUGAGAUCAUAUAACUCACUGGCACCGGAGGAAUGCCUUGUGUGUACCAAACGUCACAACGUAAUUGGGUGACAAUAAAGGUGCUCUACAGGUAUCUCCGAAGGUGUUUGUUGAGUUAGUAUGGAGCAAGACUGGGAUUUGUCACUCCGUGUGACAGAGAGGUAUCUUGGGGCCCACUCGGUAAUACAACAUCACGCACAAGCCUUGCAAGCAAUGUGACUUAGUGUAAGUCAUGGGAUCUUGUAUUACGGAAUGAGUAAAGAGACUUGCCAGUAAACGAGAUUGAAAUAGGUAUGCGGAUACUGACGAUCGAAUCUCGGGCAAGUAACAUACCGAAGGACAAAGGGAAUGACAUACGGGAUUAUAUGAAUCCUUGGCACCGAGGUUCAAACGAUAAGAUGUUCGUAGAAUAUGUAGGAUCCAAUAUGGGCAUCCAGGUCCCGCUAUUGGAUAUUGACCGAGGAGUCCCUCGGGUCAUGUCUACAUAGUUCUCGAACCCGCAGGGUCUGCACACUUAAGGUUCGGCGUUGUUUUAUGCGUAUUUGAGUUAUAUGGUUGGUUACCGAAUAUUGUUCGGAGUCUCGGAUGAGAUCACGGACGUCACGAGGGUUUCCGGAAUAGUCCGGAGACGAAGAUUGAUAUAUAGGAUGACCUCAUUUGAUUACCGUAAAGUUUUCGGCAUUACCGGGAAUGUACCGGGAGUGACGAAUGGUUUCCGGAUGUUCACCGGGGGGGCAGCCCACCCCGGGGAAGCUCAUAGGACUUAGGGGUGCCGCACCAGCCCUUAGUGGCUUGGUGGGAAAGCCCAAGAAGGCCCCUGCGCAGGAGAGAAAGAAAAUCAAAGAGAAAAAGGGGGGAGUGGGAAAAUAGAGAAGGACUCCACCUUCCAAUCCUAGUUGGACUAGGAUUGGAGGAGGGAUCCUCCUCCCCCCACUUCGGUCGACCCCUUGGGGAUCCUUGACCCUCAAGGCAAGGUCCCUCCCCUCCCUCCUAUAUAUACUGAGGUAUUAGGGCUGAUUUGAGACAACUUUUGCCACGACAGCCCGACCACAUACCUCCAUGGUUUUUCCUCUAGGUCGCGUUUCUGCGGAGCUCGAGCGGAGCCCUGCUGAGAUAAUAUCACCACCAACCUCCGGAGCGCCGUCACGCUGCCGGAGAACUCAUCUAACUCUUCGUCUCUCUUGCUGGAUCAAGAAGGCCGAGAUCAUCGUCGAGCUGUACGUGUGCUGAACGCGGAGGUGCCGUCCGUUCGGCACUAGAUCGGAGCGGAUCGUGGGACGGUUCGUGGGAUGGUUCGCGGGGCGGAUCGAGGGACGUGAGGACAUUCCACUACAUCAACCGCGUUUCUUAAACGCUUCUGCUUUGCGAUCUACAAGGAUACGUAGAUCGGAAAUCUCCUCUCGUAGAUGAACAUCACCAUGAUAGGUAUUGCGUAUGCGUAGGAAAUUUUUUGUUUCCCAUGUGACGUUCCCCAUCAGUGGCAUCAUGAACUAGGUUGAUGCGUAGAUGUUAUGUCGAGUAGAACACAAAAGUUUUUGUGGGUGGUGAUGUGCGAUUUGCUGCCCUCCUUAGUCUUUUCUUGAUUCCGCGGUAUAGUUGGAUCGAAGCGGCUCGGACCGACAUUACUCGUACGUUUACGAGAGACUGGUUUCAUCGCUACGAGCAACCCCGUUGCUCAAAGAUGACUGGAGAGUGUCGGUUUCUCCAACUUUAGUUGAAUCGGAUUUGACCGAGGAGGUCCUUGGAGAGAGGUUAAAUAGCAAUUCAUACAUCUCCGUUGUGGUGUUUGCGUAAGUAAGAUGCGAUCCUACUAGAUACCCAUGGCAACCACGUAAAACAUGCAACAACAAUUAGAGGACGUCUAACUUGUUUUUGCAGGGUAUGCUUGUGAUGUGAUAUGGCCAACGACGUGAUGUGAUAUAUUGGAUGUAUGUGAUGAUCAUGUUGUAAUAGUUAAUAUCGACUUGCACGUUGAUGGUACGGCAACCAGCAGGAGCCAUAGGGUUGUCUUUAAACUAACGUUUGUGCUUGCAGAUGAUACGUCCAUAUUGCAUCAUGCUUUCAUGUUGAUAUUUAUUGUUUUAUGGGCUGUUAUAUUACUUUGUGGUACCAUAUUUAUGCCUUUUCUCUCUUAUUUUGCAAGGUUUAUUUGAAGAGGGAGAAUUCAGGCAGCUGGAAUUCUGGACUGGAAAAGGAGCAAAUCUUAGUCCACUAUUCUACACAUCUCCAAAUGCCGUGAAAAGUUACGUGGAUUUUUUUGGGAUUAUAUAAAAAAAUACUGGGUGAAAGAAGUACCAGAGGGGGGCUGCCAGGGCGCCCAAGCCCUGCCACCGCCACCCCCCUGGUGGCGGAGGGCAAGCUUGUGGGCUCCCUGACGGCCCACUAUCCCCCCUCUUUUGCUAUAUGAAGGGUUUCGUUCCAGAAAAAAAUCAAUCGGGAGCUUUUUCGUGGUUUCGCCGCCGCCACGAGGCGGAACUUGAGCAGAUUCAAUCUAGAGCUCCGACAGGACGAUCCUGCCGGGGAAACUUCCCUCUCGGAGGGGGAAAUCGUCGCCAUCGUCAUCACCAACACUCCUCUCGUCGGAGGGGAGGCAUCUUCAUCAACAUCUUCAUCAGCACCAUCUCCUCUCCAAUCCCUAGUUCAUCUCUUGUAAUCAAUCUCCGUCUCAGGACUCCGAUUGGUACUUGUAAGGUUGCUAGUAGUGUUGAUUACUCUUUGUAGUUGAUGCUAGUUGGAUUACUUGGUGGAAGAGUUUAUGUUCAGAUCCUUGAUGCUAUUCAUUACACCACUGAUCAUGAUUAUGAUUAUGCUUUGUGAGUAGUUACUUUUGUUCCUGAGGACAUGGGAUAAGUCAUGCUGAUAAUAGUCAUGUGAAUUUGAUAUUCGUUCGGUAUUUUGAUAUGUUGUAUGUUGUCUUUUCUUCUAGUGGUGUUAUGUGAACGUCGACUACAUAACACUUCACCAUAUUUGGGCCUAGAGGAAGGCAUUGGGGAGUAGUAAGUAGAUGAUGGGUUGCUGGAGUGAGAGAAGCUUAAACCCCAGUCAAUGUGUUGCUUCGUAAGGGGCUGAUUUGGAUCCACUAGUUUAAUGCUAUGGUUAGACGUUGUCUUAAUUCUUCUUUUGUAGUUGUGGAUGCUUGCGAGAGAGGUUAAUCAUAAGUGGGAUGCUUGUCCAAGUAAGGGCAGUACCCAAGCGCCGGUCCACCCACAUAUCAAAUUAUCAAAGUAACGAAUGCGAAUCAUAUGAACAUGAUGAAACUAGCAUGAUAGAAAUUCCCGUGUGUCCUCGGGAGCGUUUUUCCUCCUAUAAGACUUUGUUCAGGCUUGUCCCUUGCUACAAAAGGGAUUGGGCCACUUUGCUGCACCGUUGCUACUACUUGUUACUUGUUACUUUUUGCUUGCUACGUUUCACCUCGCUACACAAUCACCUGUUACCGCUACUUUCAGUGCUUGCAGUUAUUACCUUGCUCAAAACCGUUUAUCAGAGCCUUCUGCUCCUCGUUGGGUUCGACACUCUUACUUAUCGAAAGGACUACGAUUGAUCCCCUAUACUUGUGGGUCAUCAAGACUCUUUUCUGGCGCCGUUGCCGGGGAGUGAAGCGCCUUUGGUAAGUGGAAAUUGGUAAGGAAACAUCUAUAUAUUGUGCUGAAAUUUAUUGUCACUUGUCACUAUGGAAACUGUUCCUUUGAGGAGUUUGUUCGGGGUAUCUUCACCACGAACGGAAGCACGAGGAGUUGUUCCUCAACCUGAGGUACCUACUGAAAAUAUCUUUUAUGAAAUUCCUUCGGGUAUGCUUGAGAAACUGCUGGCUAAUCCUUUCACAAGAUGGAUCUUCACAUCCACACUUGCAUCUGAUCUAUGUAGAUGAAAUUUGUGGUUUAUUUAAGCUUGCAGGUUUGCCCGAGGAUGAGGUAAAGAAGAAAGUCUUUCCUUUAUCUUUGAAGGAUAAGGCGUUGACAUGGUAUAGGCUAUGUGAUGAUACUGGAUCAUGGGGCUACAAUCGGUUGAAAUUGGAAUUUCAUCAAAAGUUCUAUCCUAUGCAUUUAGUACAUCGUGAUCGGAACUUUAUUUAUAACUGUUGGCCUCGUGAUAGGGAAAGCAUAGCUCAAGCUUGGGGGAGGCUUAAAUCAAUGCUAUAUUCAUGCCCCAAUCAUGAGCUCUUGAGAUAAAUCAUCACUCAAAACUUUUAUGCUCGGCUUUCUCAUGAAGAUCGUACCAUGCUUGACACUUCUUGUACCGGUUCUUUUAUGAAGAAGGAUAUUGAUCACAAGUGGAAUUUAUUGGAGAGAAUCAAACGCAACUCUGAAGAUUGGGAGCUAGAGGAAGGUAAGGAGUCAGGUAUGAAUUUCCAGUUUGAUUGCGUUAAAUCUUUUGUUGACACAAACACCUCUAGAGAUUUUAGCGCUAAGUAUGGACUUGACUCUGAGAUAGUAGCUUCUCUAUGUGAAUAUUUUGCUACUCAUGUUGAUCUUCCCAAAGAGAAGUGGUUUAAGUAUCAUCCUCCUGUAGAAAGCAACAUAGUCAAAACCAAUCUAGUUGAGGAGAAAGUCAUUGCUUUUAGUGAUCCUGUUGUUCCUUGUGCUUACACUGAGAAACCACCAUACCCUGCUAGGAUAAAGGAUUAUUAUAAAGCUCCAACUGUGAUACGUAGGGGUUACAUUAGACCACUUCCACCCCCUGAGGAUAUUAGAGUUGAACCUAGUGUUUCUAUUAUCAAAGAUCGUUUAGCCGAAGACGUAGACGGGCAUGUUAUCAAAUUCUGUGAGGACUCCGCUAGAAUUGCUAAACCUCACGCGAAAGACAAUUACAGACCUGUAGUUGGCCUGCCCGUUGUUUCUGUCAAGAUAGGAGAUCACUAUUACCAUGGUUUAUGUGAUAUGGGAGCUAGUGUUAGUGCAAUACCCCGUUCUCCAUAUGAUGAAAUCAAAGAUGAGAUUGCACCUGCUGAGUUAGAACCCAUUGAUGUCACUAUUACGCUAGCUAAUAGAGACACUAUCUGCCCUCUGGGAAUUGUGAGAGACGUAGAAGUCCUGUGUGGUAAGACGAAGUAUCCUACUGAUUUCCUCGUCCUUGGUAGUGCACAAGAUAGCUUUUGUCCCAUCAUAUUUUUUAGACCCUUUCUCAACACUGUCAAUGCUCACAUUGAUUGCAUUAAGCAGACUGUCACAGUUAGUUUCGAGGGUGUGUCUAAUGAAUUUAACUUCUCUAAGUUUGGAAGACAACCCCAUGAAAAAGAGUCAUCUGGAAGGGAUGAAAUUAUUGCUCUUACCUCUAUUGUCGUACCUCCUACGGAUCCCUUAGAGCAAUAUCUGCUUGAGCAUGAAAAUGAUAUGCAUAUGGAGGAGAGAGAUGAGAUAGAUAAAAUUGUCUUAGAACAAUAUUCUAUUCUCAAGAAUAAUCCGCGUGUUGAACUGCUUGGGGAUCCUCCCCCACCAAAGGGUGAUCCAGUGUUCGAGCUUAAACAGUUGCCUGAUACUCUUAAGUUUGCCUAUCUUGAUGAGAAGGAGAUAUAUCCCAUUAUUAUUAGUACUCUCCUCUCAGAGCACGAAGAGAAGAAGUUACUAAAAACUCUGAGGAAGCAUCGUGCUGCUAUUGGAUAUACUCUUGAUGAUCUUAAGGGUAUUAGUCCCACUCUAUGUCAGCACAAGAUUAAAACCGAUCCUGAUUCAAAACCAGUUGCUGAUCAUCAAAGGAGAUUAAAUCCUAAGAUGAAAGAGGUCGUUAGAAAAGAAAUAUUAAAGCUUCUGGAAGCAUGAAUCAUUUAUCCUAUUGCUCAUAGUGAUUGGGUAAGUCCAGUACAUUGCGUACCUAAGAAGGGAGGUAUCAUCGUCGUUCCUAAUGAUAAGGAUGAACUAAUCCUACAAAGGAUUAUUACUGGCUAUAGGAUGGUGAUAAACUUCCGGAAACUGAAUAAGGCAACUAGGAAAGAUCAUUAUCCUUUGUCGUUUAUCGACCAAAUGCUGGAAAGGCUAUCAAAACACACACACUUCUGCUUUCUAGACGGUUAUUCAGGUUUCUCGCAAAUACCUGUUGCACAAUCUGAUCAGGAGAAAACCACUUUCACCUGCCCCUUCGGUACCUUUGCUUAUAGACGUAUGCCUUUUGGCUUAUGCAAUGCACCUGCCACCUUUCAAAGAUUUAUGAUGGCUAUAUUCUCUGACUUUUGUGAAAAGAUUGUCGAUGUUUUCAUGGAUGACUUCUCUGUUUACGGGUAUUCCUUUGAUGAUUGCCUCAGCAACCUUGAUCGAGUCUUACAGAAAUGCGAAGAUACCAACCUCUUCUUGAAUUGGGAGAAGUGCCACUUUAUGGUUAACGAUGGUAUCGUCUUAGGACACAAAAUUUCUGAGAUAGGCGUUGAAGUUGAUAAGGCUAAGGUUGAUGCAAUUGAGAAAAUGCCUUGCCCCACAGAUAUCAGAGGUAUACAAAGUUUCCUAGGUCAUGCUGGUUUCUAUAGAAGGUUCAUUAAAGACUUCUCUAAGAUUUCUAGGCCUCUUACCAACCUCUUGCAGAAGGAUGUACCUUUUGUUUUUGUUGAGGAUUGUGAGGAAGAUUUCGAAAUACUUAAGAAGGCUUUGAUAACCGCACCUAUUGUUCGACCACCUGACUGGAACUUGCCCUUUGAAAUCAUGUGUGACGCUGGUGAUUAUGUUGUUGGUGCUAUUCCAGGACAAAGAGUUGACAAGAAGUUGAAUGUUAUUCACUAUGCUAGUAAAACUCUAGACAGUGCCCAAAGAAACUAUGCCACUACGGAGAAGGAGUUUUUAGCAGUCGUGUUUGCAUGUGAAAAGUUCAGAUCUUAUAUAGUUGACUCCAAAGUCACUAUUCACUCUGAUCAUGCUGUUAUUAAGUACCUUAUGGAGAAGAAGGACGCUAAGCCUAGGCUGAUCGGAUGGGUUCUCCUGCUACAUGAAUUUGAUUUGCACGUCGUUGACCGAAAGGGUGCUGAUAACCCUGUAGCACAUAACUUGUCUAGGCUAGAGAAUGUCCUUGACGACCCACUACCUAUUGAUGACAGCUUUCCUGAUAAGCAAUUGAAUGUCAUCCGCACUUCACAUAUAGUGCACCGUGGUAUGCCGAUUAUGCAAAUUAUAUUGUAGCCAAAUACAUACCACCCAGUUUCACCUAUCAGCAAAAGAAGAAAUUCUUGUUUGAUUUGAGACACUACUUUUGGGAUGAUCCUCACCUUUAUAAGGAAGGAGUAGAUGGUGUUAUUAGACGUUGUGUGCCUGAGCAUGAACAGGGACAGAUCUUGCAGAAGUGUCAUUCCGAAGCCUACGGAGGACACCAUGUUGGAGAUAGAACUGCCCAUAAGGUAUUGCAAUCAAGUUUCUAUUGGCCCACUCUCUUCAAGGAUGCCCGUAAGUUUGUCUUGUCUUGUGACGAAUGCCAAAGAAUAGGGAAUAUCAGUAAGCGUCAGGAAAUUCCUAUGAACUAUUCACUUGUCAUUGAACCGUUCGAUGUCUGGGGCUUUGAUUAUAUGGGACCCUUCCCGAGUUCCAAUGGGUACACUCACAUCUUAGUUGUUGUGGAUUACGUCAAUAAGUGGGUAGAAGCUAUCCCCAUUAAAAAUGCUGAUCACCACACCUCUAUUAAGAUGAUAAAGAAGUCAUUUUCCCAAGAUUUGGAGUCCCUAGAUAUUUGAUGACUGAUGGCGGUUCACACUUCAUUCAUGGUGUUUUCCUCAAGAUGCUCGCUAAGUAUGAUGUCAAUCAUAGAGUUGCAUCUCCUUAUCAUCCUUAGUCUAGUGGUCAAGUGGAGUUGAGUAAUAGGGAGAUCAAGUUGAUCCUACAAAAGACCGUCAAUAGAUCUCGAAAGAACGGGUCUAGCAAACUUGACGAUGCACUAUGGGCUUAUAGGACUGCUUAUAAGAAUCCCAUGGGUAUGUCACCGUAUAAAAUGGUUUACGGUAAGGCCUGUCAUUUACCUCUUGAGCUGGAACACAAAGCUUAUUGGGCAAUCAAAGAGCUCAACUUCGAUUUCAAACUUGCCGGUGAGAAGCGGUUGUUUGAUAUCAGCUCGUUAGAUGAAUGGAGGGCCCAGGCAUAUGAGAAUACCAAAUUGUUCAAGGAAAAGGUUAAGAGAUGACACGAUAAACGAAUACAGAAACGAGAGUUCAAUGUAGGUGAUUAUGUGCUGCUAUACAAUUCUCGUUUGAGAUUCUUUGCAGGCAAGCUUCUCUCUAAAUGGGAAGGUCCUUAUGUUAUCGAGGAAGUAUAUCGUUCCGGUGCCAUCAAAAUCAAUAACAUGGAAGGAAAUUUUCCUAGAGUGGUAAAUGGGCAAAGAAUCAAACAUUACAUCACUGGUACUCCCAUAAAUGUUGAGACCAAUAUCAUCAAUGUCAUAACUCCACAGGAGUACAUAAGGGAUGUUUAUCAGCCUGUUUCAGACCCUGAAAAUGAAGAGGUAUCUGUUUCGGUAAGAAAUUGGACUCCGACGCUUUCCCAAUAGGAAAUUUUCUCCAUUUUGGAAUUUUUGGAAAAUUAGAAAAAUAAAAAGCAGUCCGGAGAGCGCACGAGGCGGCCAUAAGCUUGGACGCCGCCACCUACCCCCUGGUGGCGGAGGGAGGGCUUGUGGGCACCUCGUGUGCCUCCCGGACUCCGUUUUCUUGCGGAGCACUCCUUCUGGUCCAGAAAAUAUCAAUAUAUAUUAGCCCGAAGGUUUUGAUCUCCGUAUAGCACAGUUUUCCUCUGUUCUCGUUUCAAGCUUGUUGUCUGCCGCAGAUUUAGAGCAAAGAUGUCUCAGGAAUCUGUUGGGGAGAAUGAUCUUCACCAAGUUCAUGAAGAAGUAGAUGUUGAUCUGAAAAUAGUAGAAGUCACGGAAGCCAGGAACGAGGCUAAGGAGAAAACCCAAGCUAGGGAGGAAGUUCAACCUACGUUCAACAUUAAAGACGUUGAAGGAGUAGAUUUUCUCCAACCCUUCCUCCACGUGUUGUCUCCACCCUUGAUUGAACUCUUGAGGUUUUGCGAAACAACUCGUGCUCGCAAUAUUUCCCUUUCUCGUGAAGUUGUUUUGCUGGAAAACCAUGUCACAGAUCUCAAAGGUAUAAAUCAAAGAUGGAUAGCUCUCUUGGAAUCAAAGGCAACAACUCCAGCACCAUCACCACCAAAGGAAGACAACUUAGCAUUGGUAUGGGCAAUCCCCUUGGCUUCUGCCAAGCUUGGGGAAGUUGCCCUGGUAUCGUAUCACCUUUUUAUCUUUUGCUUUUACCUUUGUUUUAGUUCUUUCCUUUUCAGUUUUUAUUUUCUUCUCUUAGAGGAAUAAGUCUUUAGUUUUUAGUUUGAGUCUUUUUCUUUGCUCCCCCGAUGUAUUCGAGCUUACGAGCUAUAUAAUAAAGAGUAUCUUAGUCAAGGGCUCUGCUUUGUGUCGUGAUCAAAAGUAUGAAAAGAACGAUAGCAUAAAAGAUCAUGAGACGAUCUUACGGAAAGUGAUAACUUCACAUAUGACACGUAUGAUGAUUGAAACUUGUUGAGAAUAAAUCAACAUAGACCUCAGUCAUUGUUGCAAUUAAUAAGAAGUAAUAAGGAAAGAGAGAUUCACAUAUAAAUAUAUCAUCUUAGACACUUUUUACAAUUGCAAACACUCACCAAACUAUUGCAUGCCUAGAAGUAGAUGUUGGACAAGGAAGACAACGUAAUGGAUUGUGUUUGCUUGGCUCUGAACAAUGUUCUAUGAUUAGAGAUCCCUUAGCAUGUGACGAUUGCUUCCACCUCAUGUUAGCCAAAACUCCCGCACCAAGUAGAGAUACUACUUGUGCAUCCAUAAACCUUCAACCCAGUUUUGCCAUGAGAGUCCACCAUACCUGCUUAUGGAUUGAAUAAGAUCCUUCAAGUAAGUUGUCAUCGGUGCAAGCAAUAAAAAUUGCUCUCUAAUAUGUAUGAUCUAUUAGUGUGUGGAAAAUAAGCUUUGUACGAACCUGUGAUGAGGAAGACAUAAAAGCGACAGACUGCAUAAUAAAGUUCUUUAUCACAGGAGGCAAUAUAAAGUGACGUUCCUCCGCACUAAGAGGACACGCAUUCAAACCCCAAAAGCGCAUGACAACCUCUACUUCCCUCUGCGAAGGGCCUAUCUUGUACCUUUACUUUUUGCCCUUGUCAGAGUCAUGGUGAUCUUCACCAAUUCCCUAUUCUGCCUUUGUCUUGGCUACCGUCACAUGCUUGGGAAAGAUCUAUAUUCAUAUAUCAACUUGGAGUUGAGUACUUAUGCUUUAUUAUUGUUGACUUUACCCUUGAGGUAAAUCGUUGGGAGGCAAAACUAUAAGCCCCUAUCUUCCUCUGUGUCCAGCUGAAACUUUGACACCAUGAGUACCACGUGAGUUGUAAAAAUUGUGGAAAACAAAAGAGAUGAUUGAGUAUGUGGAUUUGCCUUACAAGCUCUUAUUUGAGUCUUUCUGAUGUUGUGAUAAAUUGCAAUUGCUUCAAUUACUUUGGACUAUUGUUGGUUACUUCUCGGUAAGGUUUUUGCUUCAUGCUUUGCUUUGUGAAGGAAUUUUUACUUUCCCAUAAGAAUCUUUAUGAUGUAUUGCUAUCCUAUGUGUGAUCAUGAUGCCCUCAUGUCCAUAUUAUGUUUUAUCGACACCUUUGUCCCUCAACAUGUGGACAUGUUUAUGGAACUUGGUUUUCGCUUGAGGACAAGCGAGGUCUAAGCUUGGGGGAGUUGAUACGUCCAUUUUGCAUCAUGCUUUCAUGUUGAUAUUUAUUGAUUUAUGGGCUGUUAUAUUACUUUGUGGUACCAUAUUUAUGCCUUUUCUCUCUUAUUUUGCAAGGUUUAUUUGAAGAGGGAGAAUUCAGGCAGCUGGAAUUCUGGACUGGAAAAGGAGCAAAUCUUAGUCCACUAUUCUGCACAUCUCCAAAUGCCCUGAAAAGUUACGUGGAUUUUUUUGGGAUUAUAUAAAAAAUACUGGGCGAAAGAAGUACCAGAGGGGGCUGCCAGGGCGCCACAAGCCCUACCACUGCCACCCCCUGGUGGCGGAGGGCAAGCUUGUGGACUCCCUGACGGCCCACUAUCCCCCCUCUUUUGCUAUAUGAAGGGUUUCGUUCCAGAAAAAAUCAAUCGGGAGCUUUUUCGUGGUUUCACCGCUGCCACGAGGCGGAACUUGAGCAGAUUCAAUCUAGAGCUCCGACAGGACGAUCCUGCCGGGGAACUUCCCUCCCGGAGGGGGAAAUCGUCGCCAUCGUCAUCACCAACACUCCUCUCGACAAAGGGGAGGCAUCUUCAUCAACAUCUUCAUCAGCACCAUCUCCUCUCCAAUCCCUAGUUCAUCUCUUGUAAUCAAUCUCCGUCUCAGGACUCCGAUUGGUACUUGUAAGGUUGCUAGUAGUGUUGAUUACUCUUUGUAGUUGAUGCUAGUUGGAUUACUUGGUGGAAGAGUUUAUGUUCAGAUCCUUGAUGCUAUUCAUUACACCUCUGAUCAUGAUUAUGAUUAUGCUUUGUGAGUAGUUACUUUUGUUCCUCGGGACAUGGGAUAAGUCAUGCUGAUAAUAGUCAUGUGAAUUUGAUAUUCGUUCGGUAUUUUGAUAUGAUGUAUGUUGUCUUUUCCUCUAGUGGUGUUAUGUGAACGUCGACUACAUAACACUUCACCAUAUUUGGGCCUAGAGGAAGGCAUUGGGGAGUAGUAAGUAGAUGAUGGGUUGCUGGAGUGAGAGAAGCUUAAACCCCAGUCAAUGCGUUGCUUCGUAAGGGGCUGAUUUGGAUCCACUAGUUUAAUGCUAUGGUUAGACGUUGUCUAAAUUCUUAUUUUGUAGUUGCGGAUGAUUGCGAGAGAGGUUAAUCAUAAGUGGGAUGCUUGUCCAAGUAAGGGUAGUACCCAAGCGCCGGUCCACCCACAUAUCAAACUAUCAAAGUAACGAACGCGAAUCAUAUGAACAUGAUGAAACUAGCAUGACAGAAAUUCCCGUGUUUCCUCGGGAGCGUUUUUCCUCCUAUAAGACUUUGUUCAUGCUUGUCCCUUGCUACAAAAGGGAUUGGGCCACUUUUCUGCACUGUUGCUACUACUUGUUACUUGUUACUUUUUGCUUGCUACGUUUCACCUCGAUACACAAUCACCUGUUACCGCUACUUUCAGUGCUUGCAGUUAUUACCUUGCUGAAAACCGUUUAUCAGAGCCUUCUGCUCCUUGUUGGGUUCGACACUCUUACUUAUCGAAAGGACUACGAUUGAUCCCCUAUACUUGUGGGUCAUCAGCAGAUGCGUUUACUAUAUUGCUAGGACGUAGCUUUAGUAGUAAUAGCAUGAGUAGCACGACAACCCCGAUGGCGACACGUUGGUGGAGAUCAUGAUGAUGGAGAUCAUGGUGUGGCGCCGGUGACAAGAAGAUCGUGUCGGUGCUUUGCUGAUGGAGAUCAAGAAGCACAUGAUGAUGGCCAUAUCAUGUCACUUAUGAAUUGCAUGUGAUGUUAAUCCUUUAUGCAUCUUAUCUUGCUUAGAACGACGGUAGCAUUAUGAGGUGAUCUCUCACUAAAAUUUCAAGACGAAAUUGUGUUCUCCCCGACUGUGCACCGUUGCGACAGUUCGUCGUUUCGAGACACCACGUGAUGAUCGGGUGUGAUAGACUCAACGUUCACAUACAACGGGUGCAAAACAGUUGCACACGCGGAACACUCGGAUUAAACUUGACGAGCCUAGCAUGUGCAGACAUGGCCUCGGAACACAAGAGACCGAAAGGUCGAGCAUGAAUCGUAUAGUUGAUAUGAUUAGCAUAGAGAUGCUUACCACUGAAACUAUUCUCGACUCACAUGAUGAUCGGACUUGAGAUGGUGGAUUUGGAUCAUGUACCACUCAAAUGACUAGAGAGAUGUACUUUUUGAGUGGGAGUUCUUAAGUAAUAUGAUUAAUUGAACUAAUUAUCAUGAACAUAGUCUAAUGGUCUUUGCAAAUUACGAUGUAGCUUGCGCUAUAGCUCUACAGUUUUUUAUAUGUUCCUAGAGAAAAUUAUAGUUGAAAGUUGAUAGAGCAACUUUGCGGACUCAGUCUGUAAAACUGAGGAUUGUCCUAGUUGCUGCGCAGAAGGCUUAUUUCCUUAAUGCACCACUCGGUGUGCUGCACCUCGAGCGUCAUCUGCGGAUGCUGUGAACAUCCGACAUACACGUUUGUGAUGAAUACGCGAUAGUUCAGUGCAAAAUACUUAAUGGCUUAGAAGCAAGGCCCCGAAGACGUUUUGAAACAUCACGGAACAUAAGAGAUGUUCCAAAGAGAUGAAAUUGUAAUUUCAUGCUUGUGCCCUUGUUAAGAGGUAUGAGACCUCCGACAAGAUUCUUUGUCCACGAAGUAAAGGAUAAAGCUCAAUCAUUGAGCGUGUGCUCAGAUUGUCUGAGUACGACAAUCACUUGAAUCAAGUGGGAGUUAAUCUUCCAGAUGAGAUAGUGACGGUUCUCCAAAGUCACCACCACCAAGCUGUGAGAGCUUCGUGAUGAACUAUAACAUAUCAAGGAUAGAUACAAUGAUCCUUGAGCGAUUCGCGAUGUUUGACACUGCGAAAGUAGAAAUCAAGAUGGAGCAUCAAUAGUUGAUGGUUAGUAAAACCACUAAGUUUCAAGAAAGGCAAGGGCUAGAAGGGAUACUUCGUGAAACAGCAAAACAGUUGCUGCACUAAUGAAGAGACCCAAGAUUAAACCCAAACCCGAGACUAAGUGCUUUUGUUUUGAGUGGAACGGUCACUGAGGCGGAGCUACCCUAGAUGCUUGGUAGAUAAGAAGGCUGGCUAAGUCGACAGAAGUAUAUUUGAUAUACAUGAUAUUCAUGUGUACUUUACUAGUACUCCCAGUAGCACGAGGGUAUUGGAUACCGGUUCGGUUGCUAAGUGAUUAGUAACACGAAAUGAAAACUACGGUAUAAACGGAGACUAGCUAAAGGCGAGGGGACGAUACGUGUUGGAAGUGCUUCCAAGGUUGAUGUGAUCAAACGUCGCACGCUCCCUCCACCAUCGGGAUUAGGUGUUAAACCUAAAUAAUUGUUAUUUGGUGCUUGCGUUGAGCAUGAACAUGAUUGGGUCGUGUUUAUUGCAAAGCGAUUAUUCAUUUAAAGAGAAUAAUGGUUACUCUAUUUUGCUUGAAUAAUCACCUUCAAUGGUUUAUUAAAUCUCGAUCGUAGUGUUACACAUGUUCAUGAUAUUGGUGCCAAAAGAUACAAGGUAAUGAUGAUAGUACCACUUACUUGUGGCACUGCUGCUUGAGUCAUGUUGGUAUAAAUUGCAUGAAGAGGCUCCAUGCUGAUGGAUCUUUAUACUCAGUUGAUUUUGAAUAACUCGUGACAUGCAAAUCAUACCACAUGAGCAAGACCUUGUUUUCGUUGAGAUGAAACAAGAUAGUAACUUGUUGGAAGUAAUACAUUUUGAUGUAUGCAGUCCAAUGGGUGCUGAGGAAAGCAGUGGAUAUCAUUAUGUUAUUACUUGAAUGACGAUUUGAGUAGAUACAUGAGUAUUUACUUAAUGAAUCACAAGUCUGAAAUAUUGAAAAAGUUCAAUUCUGUUUCAGAGUGAAGUUCGUCGUAACAAGAGGAUAAACUGUCUACGAUAUGAUCAUAGAGAUGAAUAUCUGAGUUGCGAGUUUUGGUACACAGUUAAGACAAUGUGGAAGUUGUUUCGCAAUUCAAGCCACGAAGAACACCAUGGUGUGAUGGUAUGUCCGAACGUCAUAGCCGCGACCUAUUUGAUAUGGUGCAUAUUAUGAUGUCUCUUACCGAAUUACCACUAUCGUUUAUGGGUUAUGCAUUAUAGACAACCGCAUUCACUUUAAAUAGGGCACCGCGUAUUUCCGUUGAGAUGACACAAUAUAGACUAUGGUUUAGAGAAACCUAAGCUGUCGUUUCUUGAAAGUUCGGGGCUGCGAUGCUUAUGUGAAAAGGUUUCAGUCUGAUAAGCUCGAACCCAAAGCGGAUAAAUGCAUCUAGGAUAUCCAAAACAGUUGGAUACAUCUCCUAUUCAGAUCCGGAAGCAAAGUGUUUGUUUCCAGAAAUAGAUCCUUUCUCGAGGAAAGGUUUCUCUCAAAAGAAUUGAGUGGGAGGGUGGUGGAACUUGAUGUGGUUAGUGAACCGUCACUUCAACCAGUGUGUAGUAGGGCGCAGGAAGAUGUUCCUGUGGCGCCUACACCAAUUGAAGUAGAAGCUGAUGAUAGUGAUCAUUAGAGCUUCGGAUCAAGUUACUACAAACCUUGUAGGUCGACAAAGGUCACGUUCUACUACAGAGUGGUACGGUAACCCUGUCUUGGAGGUCAUGUUGUUGAACAACAAUGAACCUACGAGUUAUGGAGAAGCAAUGGUGGGACCGGAUUCCGAUAAAUGGCUGGAGGCCAUGAAAUCCGAGAGAGGAUCCAUGUAUAAAACAAAGUGUAGACUUUGGAAGAACUACCUGAUGGUAGUAAUACUAUUAAGUAAAGAUGGAUCUUUAAAAGGAAGACAGACAAUGAUGGUGAUAAGUCACUAUUAAUAAAGGCUCGACUUGUCGCAAAGAUGUUUUCGACAAGAUCAAAGAGUUGACUAUGAUGUGACUUUCUCACUCGUAGCGAUGCUAAAAGUCUGUUGGAAUUAUGUUAGUAGUUGUUGCAUUAUUUGUGAAAUAUUGCACAUAGGAAGUCAAAACAUUGUUUCCUCGACGAUUUCCUUGAGGAAAGAUUGUAUGUAAUACAAUCAGAAGGUAUUUUCGAUCCUAAGGAUACUAACAAGUAUGUAAGCUCCGGCGAUCCUUUAUGGACUGGUGCAAGCAUCCCGGAGUUGGAAUAUAUGCUUUGAUGAGAUGAUCAAAGCUUUUGGGUUUGUACAAGGUUUAUGAGAAACUUGUAUUUCCAAAGAAGUGAGUGGGAGCACUAUAGAAUUUCUGAUAAGUAUAUGUGGUUGACAUAUUGUGGAUCAGAAGUAAUGUAGAAUUUCUGUAAAGCAUAAAAGGUUGUUUGAAAGGAGUUUUUCAAAGGAAUACCUGGAUUGCGCUACUUGAACAUUGAGCAUCAAGAUCUAUGGAGAUAGAUCGAAAUGCUUAAUAGAAGUUUCAACAAAGAUGCAUGCCUUGACAAGUUUUUUGAAAGAGUUGAAAAUAGAUAAGCAAAGAAGGAGUUCUUGGUUGUGUUGUAAGGUGUGAAUUUGAGUAAGACUCAAAACCCGACCCCGGCAGAAGAAAGAGAAAGGACGAAGGUCGUCCUCUAUGCCUUAGCCGUAGACUCUACAGUAUGCCAUGCUGUGUACCGCACCUGAUGUGUGCCUUGCCACAAGUCUGUUAAGAGGUACAGAGAGUGAUCCAGGAUUGAAUCACUGAACAACGGUCAAAGUUAUCCUUAGUAACUUAUGGACUAAGGAAUUUUUCUCGAUUAUGGAGGUGGUUAAAGAGUUCGUCGUAAAGGGUUACGUUGAUGCAAGCUUUGACACUGAUCCGAAUAACUAUGAGUAGUGAAACGGAUUCGUAUAGUAGAGUAGAUAUUUGGAGUAUUUCCGAAUAGCACGUAGUAGCAGCAUCUAUAAGAUGACAUAAAGAUUUGUAAAGAACACACGGAUCUGAAAGUUUUAGAACCAUUGACUAAAACCUCUCUCACAAGCAAGACGUGAUCAGACCCCAGAACUAUAUGGGUGUUGGAUUCGUUAGAAUCACAUGGUGAUGUGAACUAGAUUAUUGACUCUAGUGCAAGUGGGAGACUGUUGGAAAUAUGCCCUACAAGCAAUAAUAAAUUAGUUAUUAUUAUAUUUCUUUGUUCAUGAUAAUCAUUUAUUAUCCAUGCUAUAAUUGUAUUGAUUGGAAACACAAUACUUGUGUGGAUACAUAGACAAAACACUGUCCCUAGUAAGCCUCUAGUUGACUAGCUCAUUGAUCAAAGAUGGUCAAGGUUUCGUGACCAUAGGCAAGUGUCGUUACUUGAUAAUGGGAUCACAUCAUUAGGAGAAUCAUGUGAUGGACUAGACCCAAACUAAUGAAUGUAGCAUGUUGAUCAUGUCAUUUUGUUGCUACAGUUUUUCUGCGUGUCAAGUAUUUAUUCCUAUGACCAUGAGAUCAUAUAACUCACUGGCACCAAAGGAAUGCCUUGUGUGUACCAAAUGUCACAACGUAACUGGGUGACUAUAAAGGUGCUCUACAUGUAUCUCCGAAGGUGUUCGUUGAGUUAGUAUGGAUCAAGACUGGGAUUUGUCACUCCGUGUGACGGAGAGGUAUCUCGGGGCCCACUCGGUAAUACAACAUCACACACAAGCCUUGCAAGCAAUGUGACUUAGUGUAAGUCACGGGAUCUUGUAUUAUAGAACGAGUAAAGAGACUUGUCAGUAAACGAGAUUGAAACAGGUAUGCGGAUACUGACGAUCGAAACUCGGGCAAGUAACAUACCGAAGGACAAAGGGAAUGACAUACGGGAUUAUAUGAAUCCUUGGCACUGAGGUUCAAACGAUAAGAUCUCCGUAGAAUAUGUAGGAUCCAAUAUGGGCAUCCAGGUCCCGCUAUUGGAUAUUGAGCGAGGAGUCCCUCGGGUCAUGUCUACGUAGUUCUCGAACCCGCAGGGUCUGCACACUUAAGGUUUGGCGUUGUUUUAUGCGUAUUUGAGUUAUAUGGUUGGUUAAGGAAUGUUGUUUGGAGUCGCAUAUGAGAUCACGGACGUCAUGAGGGUUUCCAGAAUAGUCCAGAGACGAAGAUUGAUAUAUAGUAUGACCUCAUUUGAUUACCGGAAAGUUUUCGGCAUUACCGGGAGUGACGAAUGGGUUUCGGAUGUUCAUCGGGGGGCAGCCCACCCCGGGGAAGCCCAUAGGCCUUAGGGGUGCCGCACCAGCCCUUAGUGGGCUGGUGGGCAAGCCCAAGAAGGCCCGUGCGUAGGAGAGAAAGAAAAUCAUAGAGAAAAUAAAAAAGGGGGGGAAGUGGGAAAAUAGAGAAGGACUCCACCUUCCAAUCCUAGUUGGACUAGGAUUGGAGGAGGAAUCCUCCUCCCCCCACUUCGGCCGACCCCUUGGGGCUCCUUGAGCCUCAUGGAAAGGUCCCUCACCUCCCUCCUAUAUAUACUGAGGUAUUAGGGCUGAUUUGAGAGAACUUUUGCCACGGCAGCCCGACCACAUACCUCCACGGUUUUUCCUCUAGAUCGCGUUUCUGCGGAGCUCGGGCGGAGCUCUGCUGAGAUAAGAUCACCACCAACCUCCGGAGCGCCGUCACGCUGCCGGAGAACUCAUAUACCUCUCCGUCUCUCUUGCUGGAUCAAGAAGGCCGAGAUCAUCGUCGAGUUGUACGUGUGCUGAACGCGGAGGUGUCGUCCGUUCGGCACUAGAUCGGAGCGGAUCGUGGGACGGAUCGCGGGACGGUUCGUGGGACGGUUUGCAGGGCGGAUCAAGGGACGUGAGGACUUUCCACUACAUCAACCACGUUUCUUAAACGCUUCUGCUGUGCGAUCUACAAGGGUACGUAGAUCGGAAAUCUCCUCUCGUAGAUGAACAUCACCAUGAUAGGUAUUGCGUGUGCGUAGGAAUUUUUUUUCUUUCCCAUGCGACGUUCCCCAUCAGCCCAGGGGGCCCACAAGCCCGUGGGCCGCAGCCUCCCCCCUGGCCACGGGGUGGGGGCUUGUGGGGCCCCUGGGCCCCCUGCCUUGGCUCUCAAGCUUCCCGAUCUUCUUCCGUUACGGAACAUAUCUUUUCGGGGAUUUUCUUCCGUUUGGACUCUGUUUCAAAAUCUCCUCUGAAAGGGGUCAAAAACAUGGAGAAAAACAGGAACUGGCACUUGGCACUGAGUUAAUAAGUUAGUCCCAAAAAAUAUAUAAUAGGCAUGCAUAACAUCCAAAGUUUGACAAGAUAAUAGCAUGAAACCAUCAAAAAUUAUAGAUACGUUGGAGGCGUAUCAACAGCCUCGAGCGCCCGGUUGCUUCACCACCUCGUCCGUCUUCUUCGGAGUGAGUUCGCGCUCAAAGACUUGGGGCCUCUCCACUAUUUCCUCGGUAUAGAGGUAACGCGGCGCCCCAACAACUUCUUCUUGUGCCAGCAGAAGUACGUGCAUGACCUCCUCGAGCGCGCCGGGAUGGACAACUGCAAGGUCGCGCCCACGCCCGUCGACACCAAGGCCAAGACCUCGGCGACCGACGGCACCCUUCUUCCGGACGGAUCCUUCUGCCACAACAUCGUCGGUGCGCUCCAAUACCUGACGCUCACCCGCCCCGAACUGACGUAAGCAGUUCAACAAGUGUGCUUACACAUGCACGCGCCGCGGGACGUGCACUGGGCAUUGGUGAAGCGGAUCUUGCGGUACAUCCCUGGCACUCCUUCGUUGGGGCUCACCUUACAUGCCUCUUCUUCGCUCGACAUCGUCGCCUACUGCUACUGCAACAAAAGACCUUCCAACGGCACUAGCUACUAUCAUGGAGAACUUUGUAUUGAAGAUCCAAGAGAGAGAAGAAGCCAUCUAGCUACUAACUACGGACCCGUAGGUCUGAAGUGAACUACUCACGAGUCAUUGGAGGGGCGAUGAUGAUGAUGAUGAUGAAGCCCUCCAACUCCAAAGUCCCCUCUGGCACGGUGCCGGGAAGGGUAUCUAGAUGAGAUCUCGCGGAAACAGAAGCUUGCGGCGGCGGAAAAGUAUUUUCGAGGCUCCCCUGAUUUUUUGCGGAAUAUUUGGGAAUUUAUAGGCCAAAGACCUAGGUCAGGGGGCGGCCAGGGAGGCCACAAGCCUGCCCACCGCCGCCUCCCCCCUCGUGGCGGAGUGGGGGCUUGUGGGCUCACUAGAUCCCACCUGGCUUGGCCCAAAGGCCCCCUGGUCUUCUUCCGUUCGGGAAAAAAUCAUUUCGUGGUUUUUCUUCCGUUUGGACUCCGUUCCAAAAUCAGAUCUGGAAAGAGUCAAAAACACGGAAAAAACAGGAACUGGCACUUGGCACUGAAUUAAUAAGUUAGUCCCAAAAAACAUAUAUAAAAGGUACAUAAAACAACCAAAGAAGACAAGAUAGCAGCGUGAAACCAUCAAAAAUUAUAGAUACGUUUGAGACGUAUCAAGCAUCCCCAAGCUUAACUCCAGCUCGUCCUCGAGUAGGGAAGUGAUAAGAAUGAAUUUUUGAUGCUUUCAUGCUACCUAGCAUAUAUGUCCUUUGUAAUUCCUCUUAUGUGACGUGAAUGUUCAGAUCCAUUAGAUUCAAAGCAAUAGUUUGCUAUUGACGUGGAAACAAUAAUAAUUCAAGCAAACUAGCAAGGUAAUCAUGAACUUUCAAAAUAACAAGGCCAAAAGAAAGUUAUCCCUACAAAAGCAUAUAGUCUGUCUAUGCUCUAUCAUCAUUGCACAAUGAAUUUAAAUCAUGCACAGCCCCGGUAUUGGCCAAGUAAUUAUUUCACACCUUUACUUUCUCAAACCUUUUCAACUCUCACGCAAUACAUGAGCGUGAGCCAUGGUUAUAGCACUAUAGAUGGUGUGGAAUGUAGUGGGGGUUGCAAGACAAAAAGGAGAAGAUAGUCACAUUAACUAGGCAUAUCAAUGAUUGUGGAGAUGCUCAUCAAUAGAUAUUAAUGUGAAUGAAUAGGGAUUGCCAUACAAUUGAUGCACUAGAGCUAUGAGUAUGUGAAAGCUCUUAAAGAAAACUAGUGGGUGUGCAUCCAACUUGCUUGCUCACGAAGACCUAAGGCAAUUGUGAGGAAGCCUAUCAUUGGAAUAUACAAGCCAAUUUAUAUAAUGAAAAUUUCCCACUAGCUAUACGGUGGUGACAAAAUGAGAGACUCGCAAUCAUGAAGAUCAUGGUGCUUAAUAUGCACAAGUGUGGAAAAAGUGGUAGCAUUGUCCCUUCUCUCUUCUUCUCUCAUUUUUUAUUUGGUGGGCUCUUUGGCCUCUUUUUUGUGGACUUCUUUGGCCUCUUUUAUUUCCUCACAUGGGACAAUGCUCCAUUAAUGAUGAUCAUCACACUUUCAACUCAAAACUUAGAGUAACGAUGACUCUAUAUGGAAUGCCUUUGGUAGUGUACCGUGGCAAUGAUCUAGCAUGGCAUAGACAUCAAUGGAAACAUCAUGCUAGCUAUCUUACGAUCAUGCAAUGGCAAUGUAGACGUGGUGGCACAUGUCAUGGUGGUAGUUGCAUGACAAUAUAUCUCGGAAUGACUUUGAAAAAGCCAUAGUAGGUAGGUAUGGUGGCUGUUUUGAGGGAGGCAAAUGGUGGGUUUUGUGCACCGACGAAAGUUGCAUGGCACUAAGAAGAUGGUGAUGGUGGAAGGUGAAAGUGCAUCUAAACCAGGGACUCAACAUUAGUCAUGAAGAACUCAUAUACUUGUUGCUAAAGUUCUAUUAGUAAUCGAAACAAAGCAUUCAACACAUACUCCUAGGGGAAGGGUUGGUAGGUAUAAACCAUCGCGCGAUCCCGACCGCUACGCAAAGGAUGACAAUCAAUAGACUAAUCAUGUUCAGAUUUCAUCACAUAGCGGUUCACCAUACGUGCAUGCUACGGGAAUCACUAACUUCAACACAAGUAUUUCUAGAUCCACAACACCUUACUAGCAUGACUUCAAUAUUACCAUAACCACAACUCAAAACUAAUUGAGAUGAAUCAAACUUCUCUAACUAUUCAAUGCACAUGAAGGUGGAAGUUUUCGUAUCCCUUUAGAUAACUACCCCUUUUGAGACUACUUUCAAAGCAUAGAUCAACUACCAAGCCAUGCACCGCUGUGCUCUAAAAGAUAUAAGUGAAGCACAUAGAGCAAAAGUAUCUAGCUCAAAAGAUAUAAGUGAAGCACAUGUGAGCUGAAUUGUCUACCAAAAGAUAUAAGUGAAGCUCGACAAAAUCAUGGUGUGUGCAUGUCUCUCUCUCUAGGUGUGUAGCAAGGAUGAUUGUGACACAACAAAAUUAAAAGACUCCUACAAUACAAGACGCUCCAAGCAAAAACACAUAACAUGUGGUGAAUAAAAAUAUGGCCCCAAGUAACGUUACCGAUGGAUUGAAGACGAAAGAGGGGAUGCCUUCCCGGGGCAUCCCCAAGCUUAGGCUUUUAUGGCAUCCUUGAAUCUUUUGGGGUGCCUUGGGCAUCCCCAAGCUUGAGCUCUUGCCACUCUUUAUCUCUUUGUCCAUAAGAACUUCACCCAAAACUUGAAAACUUCACAACACGAAACUUAAACAGAAACUCGUGGUAACAUUAGUACAAGAAAGCAAACCACCACUUCCUUAGGUACUGUAGCAAACUUAAAUUCUACUUAUGCUGAUGUUGGGUUACUGUACUUUCAAUCUUCCAUGGCUAAUAUCCCCGAUACUAUCCAUAGUUUCAUCAAAAUAAGCAACCAACACAACAAAAAACAGAAUCUGUUAACAGCAGACCAGUCUGUAGAGAUCUGUAUAUUUCGUAUACCUCUGGUACUUCAAAACUUCUGAAAAAUUAUGACAGUCUCAAGAAUUUACGUAGCAAUUAGAAGCAAAAAUAAUCAACUCAAAAGCUCUUACAGAAAAAAAAUGAAAAUUCUUUUCGUGAGUAGAAAGUUUCUGUCUUUUCCAGCAUGACCAAACGAUCAUCCCCAAGACUAAUCGUAACGGUUUUUCUUGGCACAAACGCAAAAAGAAACACAAAAACACAAUCAUAACAGAAUUAUGAAAGUGUGAAAAACACAAAACAGAAAGAAAAAUGAUAGAUUCGUUGGGUUGCCUCCCAACAAGCGCUUUUGUUUAACGCCCUUAGUUAGGCAUUGAAUGAUGCUCUCACAAAAGACAAGAAUUGAAGCACAACGAGAGAAUCCUAAAGCAUGUGAAAAUCACAUCUAAGUCUAACAUACUUCCUAUGCAUAGGCAUUUUAUAGGAAAACAAAUUGUCAAGACAACCAAUAGCUGCCAUAUGCAAGGAAGAAGAAAGAGACAAGAGCAAUCUCAACAUCACGAGAGGUGAUUUGGUAACAUAAAAGUUUCUACCAAAAUAUUUUCCUCUCUCAUAGCAAUUACACGUGGGAUCAUUUUCAAAUUCAACAAUAUAGCUAUCCCAUAGGAUAUUAUUUUCAUGAUCCACAUGCAUGCAAAGUUGACGCUCUUNNNNNNNNNNNNNNNNNNNNNNNNNNNNNNNNNNNNNNNNNNNNNNNNNNNNNNNNNNNNNNNNNNNNNNNNNNNNNNNNNNNNNNNNNNNNNNNNNNNNNNNNNNNNNNNNNNNNNNNNNNNNNNNNNNNNNNNNNNACGCUCUUCAAAAAUAGUGGAAUUGUCAUCAAAUAAAGUCAUGACUUCUCCAAUCCCACUUUCAAUAUUGUCGCAAAUAUCAUAUUCAUCAUGAGGUUUGAACAAAUUUUCAAGAUCAUAAGAAAGAUCAUCACCCCAAUCAUGAUUAUUGCAACAAGUAGUGGACAUAGCAAAACUAGCAUCCCCAAGCUUAGGGUUUUGCAUAAUUUCAGCAUGAUUAUCACUAAUAGAAUUUAUAGUGAAACCAUUGCAAUAAUGCUUUUCAUCCAAGGAACCCUCGUGAAUCACUUCAUAAUUUUCUUCCACACAAUUUUCAGAUUCACGCCUCUCAAGCAAAACUCCAUAGAAAUAGUCAAUUGCCCUCAACUCACUAGCAAUUCAUUCCACAUAAGUGGGUCUCUUAAAGAUAUUAACAAACGAGGAUGCAAGCAUAUUGAAGGCACAUGGCACACAAGUGAACAAAAAGCAAGCGAGAAAAAGGGCGAACGAAAAAGGAAAAAGGAAAACGGCAAAUGUGAAGUNAUAUAUAUCAUAGAUAAUCUGAGCACAAAUCCACAAUUCAUCUUAUCUCGACAAACACACCGCCAAAGAAGAUUACAUCGGAUAGAUCUCCAUGAAGAUCAUGGAGAACUUUGUAUUGAAGAUCCAAGAGUGAGAAGAAGCCAUCUAGCUACUAACUAUGGACCCGUAGGUCUGAAGUGAACUACUCACGAGUCAUUGGAGGGGCGAUGAUGAUGAUGAAGAAGCCCUCCAACUCCAAAGUCCCCUCCGGCAGGGUGCCGGGAAGGGUCUCCAGAUGAGAUCUCGCGGAAACGGAAGCUUGCAGCGGCGGAAAAGUAUUUUCGAGGCUCCCCUGAUUUUUUGCGGAAUAUUUGGGAAUAUAUAGGCCAAAGACCUAGGUGAGGGGGCGGCCAGGGAGGCCACAAGCCUGCCCACCGCCGCCUCCCCCCUGGUGGCGGAGUGGGGGCUUGUGGGCUCCCUGGAGCCCACCUGGCUUGGCCCAAAGGCCCCCUGGUCUUCUUCCGUUCGGGAAAAAAAUCAUUUCGGGGUUUUUCUUCCGUUUGGACUCUGUUCCAAAAUCAGAUCUGAAAAGAGUCAAAAACACGGAAAAAACAGGAACUGGCACUUGGCACUGAAUUAAUAAGUUAGUCCUAAAAAAGAUAUAAAAGGUACAUAAAACAACCAAAGAAGACAAGAUAGCAGCGUGAAACCAUCAAAAAUUAUAGAUACGUUUGAGACGUAUAACCUACUCCGAUGCGGAUUGGGCUGGCUGUCCCGACACCCGACGCUCUACCUCAGGCUACUGCGUCUACGUCGGCUCGUUGCUCAUUUCCUGGUCGUCCAAACGACAACCGACGGUGUCCCCCUUGAGCGCCGAAGCAGAGUACCGUGCCGUGGCCAAUGCCGUGGCGGAAUGCUCUGGGCUCCGACAGCUCCUUGGAGAGCUGCAAUGUGCUGUCCAACACGCCACCGUUGUCUACUGCGACAACGUCUCUGCUGUCUACCUGUCCGCCAACCCGGUGCACCAUCGGCGGACCAAACACAUCAAGCUUGACAUACACUUUGCAUGGGAGAAAGUUGUGCUUGGGGAUGUUCGCCUUCUUCAUGUGCCUACCUCUCAACAAUUCGCCGACGUUAUGACUAAGGGGCUGCCGGUGUCGGUCUUCGAAGAAUUCUGAUCGAGCCUCUGCGUCUCCGGCGACGUUUCGUUUGGGGGGUGUUGAAGCACUCGUCUAUACCGUUGCUCACGACAACCCUUCUCUUAGCGCAUGCAUAGGAUGAGCUACCCACUCGCCCACUCCCCUCCUUCUUGCUCGGGUAGUUAGGCUGUUAGGCUAGCUUAUCCUCUCCCUCUGUACAUAUAUAAGUAUGUGUUGUGUCAAUGAGAAUCGGUGUGCAACAAAUUAUUUCUUUCUCCCUUGCUUUACAGAUAUAAUUCAGAAGUUUGCGGGCAGUGCCUACAGAUGCACUGACAGCGUCCGUGAGUGUUUGAGAAACCGUAUUUAUCAAGUGUGGCUCUAGAUGCUCUAACUUUCUCCACCAGUGCGUGCGUGAUUUUACCACGGGUUUCGUCAAAUUUCGCCUCAUUCGAGAAGUCAGGAGUAUGUAUAUAUGUGCAGUAACAUAGCUACUAACAUAGUCUUGGGACUAGCAAACAUGGUGAUGUGACAAGUAAUUAAAGAAGAGAGAGAGGAUUAGAGUAACAUAGGUAGAUAUCGUAACAUGUUAAAUUCUAUGCUACUAUGUGUCAUGCAUGUCAAUAAAUGAGAUCACCUAUGAUACUAGUUUAUGAUACUCCCUCUGUUUCUUUUUAGUCUGCAUAUAAGGUUUGGUUAAAGUCAAGUUUUGUAAAGUUUGACUAACUUUAUAUUAAAAAAUAUCAACAUUCAUAACAUGAAAUCAAUAUUAUCAGAUGCAUCGCGAGAUGUAUUUUCAUACUAUAUAAUUUUAGUAUAGUAGAUAUUAUUAUUUUUUAUAUAAAUUUGGUCAAACUUUAUGUUGUUUGACUUUGACCAAAUCUUAUACGCGGAGUAAAAAGAAACGGAGGGAGUAAUAUGCACUAUGAAGGUAGUAUCAUACAAUAGUAACAUAUGCAUAAUACUACUACUAGCAAAAGAGCCCGUGCGUUGCAACGGGAGAAAAAAAUACCACACGCUUUUAAUCUUUUUAUAAUGAUUUGGAUUUAUUAAAAUAAUAAGCUAACUAACUAAUGUAGUUAGUCCUAUCCUAUUUUGUUGAGAAAUCAACCCGUCCAUUGUUAAUUCCACCAUAAUGAGAAAUUGAGCGGAACAAGCAAAGCAAAACAAAGAGCCUACGUGAAUUGAUCAAUGGAUUGUUAUCUUAUUUCACUCAUGAGAUAGAGAAUGUGGGAUCAGAUGACAAAUUGAAGGUGGUGUUCCAUUCUCUCUCUCUACAACAACGCAAUCUUACAUUCAAUACAUUCAUUCAUCAGCAAACAAAUUUCCACAAAACAAAAUUUCUUGCCGGUGCUUGGCACACGGUUGGAGGCAUGGGGAGGGGAUCUCACGAGAUGAUGAGUUCCAGUCGGAGGAGGGGAUAAGCAAGGGUUAGGCGCCUCUAUCUGGCCAUAAGGAGUCGCCGUUGCCGCGCCAUAACCUCGGAGUUCCCCGUGUGAGCCAUGGAAGCCCACCUCCACCUGCAAGUACUUCACUCCGCCGCGCCUUAUCCGCGCGCCGCUGCCGUUCUGCAUCGAGCAGACGCAUCAUCCCAAGUCGUUGUAGCUGUCGCGUUGAUUUGAUCCAGAAGCUGUGCUAGAGCGCCGAAACGGGGGCAGCAAGCGGGCAGAGGUACGACCGCGGAGGCGGGUGGGUUGAGAUCGACAGCAAUGGUGGUUGAGGUCGGCUGCGGCGGCGAGUGGUGUGACAGCGGCCUCGGCACAGGCCAGGGUGGACCAGGGUCGACGCGAUGCGCUCGAACGCCGCAACGGGGGCAGCGAGCGGGGAGAGGUACAGCCGCGGAGGUGGGUGGGUUGAGAUCGGCAGCGGUGGCGGUUGAGGUCGGCCGCGGCGGCGAGUGGUGUGGCGACGGCCUGGAUAUAAUUUUUGCAGCGAAUUAUUUUUUCCUUUUGCGUUGCAGAUAGAUGAUGAGGUGCGGGUUGAAUAACAAAAAUACAGGGGCUUUUUUUUUUAUAAAAAUGGCGUGGUGGUCGAUAUGUUACUUUUCACUAGGAGCAGCCUAAAACGCUGAAUAUAUCCGGCCGUAAUUCGAGGCAGUAAAAUUAUCACACGACAAUUUAAUUACUGGAGUACAGUACGUAGUAUUAGUAGUUAUUGUGGAGUGUAGUGGUUGGUUCCGGUGCUGGUAAUGACUUCACUGUAGCCUGCCUAGCUAGCCUGCCCCGACAUUUGCCGCAAAAAGAAGUAUUUUGUCCCGGCAACGAAACGCAGGCUGGUCGAUGGUGGAGCAGCGCCGCUAGCUGGCUGGCUUGGCCCUGUGCCGUCGUCUUCCUCCGAGGACACGGGAGGUAAUGACGCUGCCCAUCGUAUGCCCAGCCCCGUACCGAUCUCGCUGUCAGACUGGCAGUGCAUGACUCCAUGCCGUGAACACCAAGAGAGCCACUAGUGUGUUUGCGUGUGUGUUAAUUUCACGGCCGUAUAAACAUCGUACCCGUACCCAUGGUGGCUGGCAGUGGCGGAGCCGAGUGGGUGGCAUCGCAGUUCACGCCGGGGGCCUUGGACCCUUGCUCGGACGAGGAGACAGGCACGAGGAAGAAGAAAAGCCACGCGCACCGCAUCGCAGAUCACGCGCCAAAGGGAGAAAUCGGCCGGGCUGAUAUAGAUUACAAAAUUGUGGGUGGAGGCUAAACUUCAGCAUUUCCGAGGAUGGAACUUGUCUGCCAGCGCCGCAUAUGCGUGGUCGUGCUCUGCUCUCCCUGUGUUUGCCUUUUCUUCCUGAUUUCCUACGGCAGGGUGUGCCCUCUACAUGAUGUACAUAAAAGGGAAAAAAAAGAAGCGGUGUGCAUUUUUCUGAAGGAAAGUGUGCCGCAUCUUCUUCAUUUUUUUUAAUGAGGAUGUACUCCCUCCAUUCCUAAAUAUAAGUCUUUGUAAGAUUUCACUAGUGGACUACAUACGGAUGUAUAUAGAUAUACUUUAGAGUAAAGAUUUAAUUAUUUUAUUUCGUAUGUAGACCCUUAGUAAAAUCGUUUAAAAGAUUUAUAUUUAGGAACGAAGGGAGUAUAAGAAUAAUGCAGCGGCUUAACCAGUGAAGGAGGGCAGCGGCGAAGCAUGGUAAUUGGGAACGGUUUGCAUGAUAGCAUAUGUUGGCCCAGGGUGACAAGUUUAGCUUGUAAAAUUGAUGAAUCCAUUUCAGCUCAGUUUUUGCAAGGAUUUGCUAUGCUUGCAAACUAAACUUCAUUUUCUGGAGGACGAACCGUUAAGACUGGUCAGUGUGGAAUAACUUCGACCAUUAACAUGCAUAUGUUAUUCUUUUUUUUUUUUGCGAUGAAACAUAUGUAUAGAGUAACAUAUGUGGUGUCAUGUAACACUUCAUUCAUUAAAUUUUAUAUUAUAGACUCACUUUGUCUUCACACGUGUGAUGUUACUCAUAGUGUGAAUAACUAGUCAUAUUAUUUAAUUUAUAUUUUUCCUUAUUAAAUAAUUGUCACAUAAACAAAUUUAUUGAGUUAAACCUUAUGUUACUCCUGAAGUUAUUUCCUCUAUGGGUAGUAUAAUAAUGAGAAGUUUUUAAAGCUAGCUAAUAACGAGAGUUGUGGUCCUGUGCUUUUAUUAUGCCCACUUAUGGGCUGCUAUUUCGGCAGCCCAUACUCCUAUCUAGACAAUUCCUAUUUGGUGCAUUCCGUGGAAAAUACUCGCCCCUUCGCAUAGGCGCAAGUGACUCAACUUAUAUAAACGAACAUAUGGCUUGACGUUACUAUCAGGAUGCCGUCAUGUAUAAAUCGUGUGUCUGUUAACACUUGGCUUAUAUAUAAAUUGUGUGUUUUCGUUGUGACUCUCAGCUUACACCUGAUAAGCCGGUCCUUAGUAAGUUGUAUGGUAUAAAUCAGGGAAAACACUCGGCUUAUAUAUAAACCCAAUGUAAACUGUUAUAAGUCUAGUGUUUCGGGCACUCAGCUUAUUAAUUUUUUUUCUUGUAGUGCAUGUUGCAGAAAUUUAAACAUAGGUCAAGUAGCGAAUGAGAUAGGCCGGCCCAUUCAACGAAUAGAACAUGCUACAUGACCUGGAUUUUUUUAGCCUACUUCAAUUAGUUUUCAUCUCUUUUGAUUUCUUUCUGUUGUUUCUUUUAUCAGUAUUCUUUGUUUUUCCCUUUUUUCAAAUGUCUUCUUUCAAAUAAAUCUUUUGAAUUUCAAAAAAUUCUUGUAGUUUAAGUUUUCAUUUUUAAUUUCAAAAAAAAUAUUCUUGCUCAAAAAGUUAUUAAUUUUUUUAAACAUUCGGGUUUCAAAAAAUUUGCAGAAUCUUAGAAAAUAUCCACAUUUUCAAUAUAUUUAAAAACAAUACUAGCGAACUUUAAUAAAUAUCACUGUCUUAAAAAAUGAUUAGAAUUGUUUUAAAAAACAUGUUUCUAGAAAGCGUGCAAAAUUUUAAAAUAAGUUCAUGUUUAACAUAUGUUCUCAAAAUUUUAAAACCCGGUGACUAAAGUAACACGGUUCACUAAAGUACCCUCCUAGCUCGCUCGCUAGCAGUUCGCGGAUGGACCAGCCCACCAAGAUAAACCGCCUUUGUUUUGCAAGCCUUCUAUUUGAUGCAAAUAGCACAAAAUAGGAGGCUUCAUCUAACAGGUCACACCCGACACCAUGACAUGCAUGAGAUCCCGAGCCUACCACAACAAUUGUGCCCCUCCUCAAAAUUUGAUGGGGCCUGUCUACAGGUCGCUUGCAGCAAGUGCUAUCCUCGCCUCGUCUACAUGUUCGCUGCUCGCCUCUAUUGGGUUGCCCCGUGAAUCACACUUACCUACCAAUGUGCUUCUCGCAUGCCUUGAGCCUCGCAGCGGUGCGUUGCAAUCUCGUUCCUCUUAACAAAAAAACUUAUCAUGCUCUUUACUAUGGUCAACUUACAAAUUAAAAAAACUAAAUCCUGUGCAACAUUUUUUUGAAUUCCUAAAAUGUCUUAAUAAAUAUAUAAAUAAAUGCGUGACUUCCCGAAAACAUUGCAUAAAAUUUUGAAAAUUUUCGCACCACUCAAGAAAAUAUCAUAACAUUUAUUUAUUUUCACAUAUUUGAAAUAUUGUUCAUGACAAUACUAGAAAAUGUUCAUGAAAUUUUUAUGACAUUCGAGCAAAGUUUGACAAAAAGUGUUCUUGACACGUAAAACUUAUUCACCCCAAAUUGGAAAAUAUUUAUAUUUUACUUAUAAAAUGUUCACCAUGAAUUUAAAAAAUGCAACAUGUAUUAAUUUUUUAAACAUGUAUCUGAAAAAUGUUUAAUGCAUAUUAAAAAACCAUUCAUCGUGUAUGUAAAAAGAGGUCAACGUGUUGUUUAUUUGGUGUUUGUAUUUUUUAGUAGGUAUUUUUAAAGUUUAUUUGGAAAACAAGAAUACUUUUUUGAAACACAUAUAAAUCUGUAAAAAACACUGGGAAAUACAGAAACACCGGACCAAACCUUUCAAAACCGGACUCUAUAUCUCACUUCUAGGAAGACGUAAGCCAACGUCAUCUAAAGAGUAGCAUGGUUGUGUAUUUCUUCAAUCUGUUUUUUUCUACUUAUUUCAUUUUUUUAUUUUUUUUCACAAAAAUUCUAAAUUUAUAUAUUUCAUGGCGAAUUACAAAAAUUAUUUUGAAUAAUAAACAGUGUUAAAAAUGUUUGUGCAACUUUAGAAAAUGUAGAUAUCAUUUAAAAUAUAUAUUUUAGUGCGUAUGUAAAAAAUGUUUAACACAUAUCCGAAGAAAAAGUUGAAAAGGAUGGGUUAAAAAAGGUGGAACAUGUAUCUGGAAUAUGUUAAAUGAAUAUUAAAUAAAUGUUUUAUAUGUAUAUAAAAAUGUACAUUGUGUAUGAAAAAAUAAACACGAAACUAUUAUUUGAAAAAAUUAUUAAACAUGUUUAAAUCAUGUUACUCAUGUAUAUGAAGAAAAUGUACAAUGUAUGUGUCAAAUGUAGACAACAAAAAUAUACAUUCUGAAAAAAGGUUUGUCAUGUAGUUGAAAAAUGUGAAACAUGUAUACAAUUAAUGUUUCAUAUGUAUACACAAAAUUUAGAACCUACAUAAAAAAAUACUUAGAAAAAAUAUAUUAAAAAAAAUGUUAAUCACGUAUGUAAAAUUUAAUAAUCAUGUAUGAAAAAUGUUAUUGUUGUAUACAAGAAAUGAAUAUAUUUGUAAAAUUAUAGAUCGUGUAUUUUAAAAAUGUUUAAAAAAUGCUCUUUAUGUAUAUUAAAAGGUACAUUGUGUGUGAAAAAAUAGACAUGUGUUAGAAAAGGAAAUAGAAAAAUAGCUAAGUAAAUUGAAGAAAAUAAUGGAACAGAGUGAAAAGAUUAAAAAAACAAAGAAAAGAAAACCCAAAGAAACUAAUGUAAAACAGUAAAACUAUUGGUACAUUAUUGGUCCGGCCCUAAAAUGCUGCCUGUAGGCGAGAUGUAAUACAUCUUUUUACGGACAAUAUAUAGCUUACGCGCCCAAAAUCAUACUACUAAACAGUGGCCACCUACUUGCUACUGGGCCAUUGCCCGUAUAGGAAGCAUCCUAGAGGCAAGCUUUUGUUUCAUAGCGGCUAAUCACUGACAAUAUAAUUUCAGCUUAUGAAUUAUUGUAUUUUAUAAAGAUAAAUGGAUCAAAGAAUAACAAUUAUCGUGCUCUAAAGCUUGACAUGAUGAAAUCGUAGGAUAUAGUUGAAUGGUCACAUCUCAGGGUUAUCAUGGAGAAGCUGGGUUUUGCUCGACAAUGGAUAUCUGUUAUCAUCAGCAUGAUGAGCUCAUUAUCUUUUGAAACAUGUUCAAUGGAAUAAAAUCAAAGGAAUUUAAACCUACAUGAGGUAGUCGAGAGGGAGACCCUAUCUCUCCAUACCACUUCUUGUUAACAUCAAAGGUCCUUUCGUGCCCGUUAAAAGUCUCAAAAACAGUCAUCCUAGCUCAGCGGUAUCAAGAUGACACUAACGACUCCGUUGGAGAAUCACCUUCUUUCGUAGAUGACAACAUACUAUUUUUCAAGGCGAGUAUUAAUGGAGCUGAAGAGGUAUCAAACCUAUUGGAUAAAUAUUUCAUAGCGUCGGGACAGAGAAUAAAUAGAGAGAUCCUCAAGUUUUUUAAGCAAAGGCUCUCCGAAUGACGGAGGGGGGUUGAGUGAAGUGGGUAGGGUUUGGUCCGACAAACAGAUGAAAACAAAUAUAUAUGAAAUCGGAUGGACCAGCGUGGUCUGAGUCCGACAUGGCGAACGCGCGUGAACGUCCUAUAUCCGGAUUGAUUUUUCAUGAUCGAUCGAUGACCGUACCGUCUGCCCGGACGGACGCCAGGUUUGGGACGCGCGACUCUAGAUGCUCUUAGCACGAGCUAGUAGGUCAGGAAAUGGUAGUACUUUGUUUCAGAAGAGCAGUGCGCUGACUGUGUGCAUCGUACUGAGCUCUUCGGUCGGCAGUGGUCGAAAUGCAGUUGUCGUGGAUUGAAAUGCCUAAAAUCUCAAGUUGUGCUGUUCUUGGGCAAUUCCUUUUCCUGUUCUGAUCAAGAUUUUGCUGCCUAAAACAUCUACUACUCCUGUUAGUCUUGGCUUCAACCGUGGCAAACUAGCAGAGGAAGGCUAGCUUCCAAGCCUGCAUUGAAGUUAGAAAACCACACCCAACAUCCUGAAGAAAAGGAAAAAGACUGGACACAAAUUUAAGAACCACCGAAAGAUUCACUUUAUUUUGCACUUGUGCACUUCUGCAUCCACGAACGCGACAUGCUGCUUAUUCAUUCAUUCACACGACGACCCAAUGAACUAACUAGCGUUCAUGGGAAGACGCAGUAGGCGCCUCCAUGGAUGGUUGGCAGGUUGCACUGCCCGGGCAGGGCGAGCGUUCUGGCGAAGUCCCUCUUCACCUCCGCGGGGCACUCGGUCGCCAGCGGCGGCAGCUGAGGGGGCGCGCCUUGGCUUUGACUGGGAGGGAACGCCCGGUCGAUGAAGACGCGCAGCCCCUCGCAGCGGCAGUUGGACGAGAUGCCGGCCAGCUCCCGGCAGCACCAGUCCUUCAUCACCUCGAUGGGGAGCAGCGGCACGGCGCCGCAGGUCUGCGAGGCCACGUAGAAACGGCAGCCCUGGAGCGGGUUGACGGGGAGACCCAUCCCUUCGUAGCAGGUGUAGAUGCUGGUGGCGGUCGCGACGCCGGCCAGGACGGAGAAGAUGGCGACGGCUGAGAGGAGGUGCUGGCUGCAGGACGCCAUUGGCGUUUGCUGUGUUUUCUGUG
rnacentral:lncRNA from 1 species